rnacentral:lncRNA from 1 species
CUGUGGCUGACCGAGGGCAGCGUGGAGGAGAGGUUGGCGUCUGUGGUGAGUGUCUGUGUGUGUUUUGUAUGAACGUGUGUGUUGAACUGCGAGUGUGCACCCUCGUGCGAACUACAGGACUUGUGGGGAUGUGAAUUAUUUUGUCACUUGUGACCGCUGCGGUGGACCAGAGUGGAAAGUUUGAUGUGUAGCGUGUCGCGUGCAGCGUGUGUGUGUGUGAUCGUCUAGCGCGUGUAUGUGUGCGUUAGCUGCACUCAGUGACGGGGCUGCUCCGUCACAGUAUAUGCUUGACUUUGUGUAUUUUGUUUUAGCCCUGGCUCGGUAACACAAAACAAACAGCAGAGAAUUGCAAGAUAGUCCAGAGUCGACCCCACAGUUUGGGAUGUGAUUUACCGCUGAGCCAUCAGCAGUGAAGCUGAGUGUACUUCAGGUGUUCUCACAGGAAGUAGAGAAAGAAAUAGGGGAGAGUGGGGUAAGUUGAGCCACCCACUGUUCCUUGGAAAUAGUAAAAGAAAUUGAUCAUGUGACCAAAUAUUUAGGAGAUGGGCAUCAAUUCAUGGAGUCUGUGAGGAUUAGAAGUACAUGGGUGAAGGGGUUAGACAUUUAUUUACAAAAAAUGUUUUUCACUUUUGAAAGUGAAUUUAGUCUGUGUUAUUGGAAUUGUGUUUGGACCAAAAAAGAUCAUUUUUAAUUUGUUUUACACAUCAAUUGUGGUAUCUAUGAGCUACAACAUGAGGUCAAAAACCUAGCAUAAAAGUCCACCAUUUUAGUUUAGAGGACUAAUAAAGUCAUCAUAGUUGUUCCGGGGUAAGUUGAGCCAGUGACUCAACUGAGAAAGUAAAGAAGUCUGAUGAGAGGAUCAGAGUUUCAGUUCAGAUUGUUGAAAUGUGUUACUCUUUCUUUUAAAAAAUACAGCUGUAAAUGUUCUGAAUCACUUAAAGACAUUCUCAUGUUAAAAUGGCUUUUUACAAAACAGCUUUUUAGCAGUUAUAUGCAAUAACAAAAAGAAUUAUUGUACCAAUUGAAUAGCGUAUAAUAGAUAAAAAUACACAUGAAUGUGAAGAAGUGACUGUUAUUUAGGGAGAGAGAAGGUGGUGGAGGGCUGGGGUGGAGAGUGGGGGGGUAGUAGGGAUACGGCUCAACUUUACCCCGCUCUUAUGGUCAACUUACCCCAUACACAGGGUAAGUUGACCAUAGGAGACCACUUUUUUUUGGCAUGCUCUAUUAUCAAGACAGUUAUGUUUACACUCAUUCUGUUGGUUUGCAGGGAUUAACAACAUCUUGAAAUAUAUGCAGAUACACUAGUUAGAGACAAAACUGUGAUUGCCUUGAUGUAGUGAUCCGAAAUAUGAAAAUGGCUCAUCUUACCCCACUCGCCCCUACUCCUCACUGCACUGCACGCUCAUUUCAAAAGCUCCUGUGUGAUUUAUUAGUACAACAUUUCUUCAGACCACACCCUCUCUCUGUUUCCUCAGAACUUUUAGACACAGAGUUUGCACAAACAAACUUAAACACUCAGUGCUGAGGUGGCAGGGGAAUCAUUUGUAUAGUGGAUUUGAAGUGGUCAGGAGAGAUUCAGUCUGGAUAAAGUUAGAGACUCUUCCCUGAAAUGUGUUUGCGUGUUGUAGUGCUAAAUAUAGAGAAAUCAUUCAUGCAGUAAACCUCUUUUCAUCCCCUUCACUCUGAAUGCAACAUGUCAAGAUCACAAUCAAACCGCAUGUGUGCAUUGAGACAUGCAUUUUUAUUAGUGCUUCAUACAUUCUUAAUCUGACAGCAUCUGUAACGGAUCCUGAUAAUGCAAAUAAAUUUAAUACUGAUAAUUUCAGAGCACAUUGGCCUGUGGCUUCUGAAUAUCAUGAAAAAAGCAUCAAUAUGAUUUUCAGUGUUGUAGCAUCUGUGCUGUAAGGUCCAAAAAGUGAAACAGAACAGUUGGACUUGAAGUAGGAACAUUUUUGGAUGGAUUCUUAAAAGGUUUCUGUCUUCACAAAGUGGGUAAAGUCUUGGCUGUAUGCGGUACAGAUGGUAUUAUGAGUCAGUAAACGCAAGACAAGACUUUGGGGCUUUUGUGAGUGAUGUGCCAAUUUGACCCAGGAUCUGAUUUGAAAAGGUUAGAGAGUCAUUUUUCAUUCAUGUUGACUUUGAACUCACCACUGUGCCAUUGAGAGCUAUGGGUCCCAGUAUCAAUUUCCUUUUACUGAAGGCAGGAGCUCAGACGACUCUUGUCACAGCCACAGAUCUGGCUGCCAGCUCCACGGGCCUCCUGAGUCUCCUGCUCUUUACUUUGGCUGCCAGAUAAAUGAAGUAUUUUUUUCCUUUUUUUUUUAAAUCUGGCAGAGCAGCACCUUUUAAGAGGUCAGUAAGAGUGGCUUCGCUGAGGUAUUAAGCUCUGUGGAUACAGCUCAUAGCUCAGCUCCUGGAAGAGCCAGCAGUACUGAGUGUGUGAGACCAUUAAUCUCAAAUCAUGCAUGCUUCAAUAACUGCUAAUUUCUGAGCGUAGAAACAGGCAGAUGGAUGUCUUCUUCUCCCAGCUAAUGUUUCCACUGCCAUAUAGGAUCAAAACCAACUUGGACACAGCCAAUACUUUUUGACAACAGAUAUCCAUCAGCAUUAGGAUUUGGUCUCUUUCUGUAAAACUCACCAAAUUUUAAACAGAACAGUCAGAGCAGAGGAAAAAGUAAAAGAAGAAAAAAAAAUGGCUGUGGAGGAAUGUAAACUAGAAGGAAUGAGAAUAUGUCUUUAGAGUUGCAUCAUUUUACACAAGAUAUCAAGUUCAUAGAAGUAUUAUUUUUAUUAAAUGGAUAUUCCAGAGUAAAAUUAAGUUAGGGUCCAACACACCGUAACACCAAGUUAGACAACCCCUCGAGAGAUAAAUGUUGCUGGCCGCUUGCUUCUCUAGUUAAACCAACUUUAGUAACAACCGCAGAUAGCACAGCGGUCUAUGUCUCCACGUGCAACUCAACCAAAACGCCACGCUGUAGCCACAAAUAAUGUUCAGAACAGCACCUAACGUCAUCAACAGUACAUAGAGGGUCCCAGCCAUAGCAAUAGCAACCAAACAUCUUUUUAGCUUUUCCUGAUUUCUUUAGCAAAGAGACGAAACACAACUUACCCAAUCUCUUCCAGCAGCCGUUUGUUUGUGGGGGCGCGCUGACGAGUCGAUCACUGAGUGCAGCGGAUCAUUUCCUUGAAGUAUAUCCAUCAUAUUAAUCAUUUUGCACUGCAGAUGCGGUGGUUCUUCUGCCUUAGCAUCUCGGUCUGAUUGCAUUUCCAUGAAGAAAUGAUCAUAAAUGUUCUUCCUUGAGCUGUGAAACUCCACUGCAAUUGGGGAUCAACUCGUCAGGACUCCAAUACAGAUUAUUGCGUGUGAGAUAUGUUUUAAAGAGUUGUUUUUCUGGAGGUAAUCAUACACCACAUCUGUUAUUUGUCUUAAUCACUGUUGUAGGUUCUCUUAUUUUAAGCACGUCUCCUCAGAGUCCCAAAUCAUGUCUUCUCCAUGACAGCAGUAAUGCAUGGGGAAUGCACAGCCAGCUGUGUGUGAAUGUGAUCAUUUGUAAGUAGACAAGGCAGCCUGAGAAAUCAUGGACACAGAAAUUAAGGUAAAAAGAGGACUCCAAUAAAGAUUUUAAAUAAUUAUAAAAAACGAGUUAAACAUUUCAGAGGAUAUUUAAGGGAAGAACAUGCAGACUGUCUCACAGAGAAACCUGGGCUCAGGGAGUUGUUUGAUUUAUCGACAUUUCUCUUGUAUCCUCUUAUACUUGAACGUCUCUUUUUCUCCUCUAGAGCUCUUACCCCUACUUUAGCUGUUUCUUAUUUUCCUCAUUCUGUCCAGUUUUUCACAAUGCUGCUAAAAAUCCUUCCCCUUUGACUUGUCCUUUUUGUUGCUCCAUAAACCCUGCUUUCUCUUGUGUUACUGUACAGUUGUACAGGCUGGAGCAGGUUAUGUUGACAUGCCAGCACUCUUUCUCUCUGACUUUCAAAAAGCCAUUCCUUCUUCUGUAUUAUCAUUUAAAACAUGCAUGUGGCAUGAAACCAUAAAUUUACAAGGGAACGGUAUUAAACCAGGUGACAAAUUAGAAACUGGCCUGAUUGAUUCCUUGUGAAGUGAAAUCGGUGGGCUCUUCCCUGCCAUAGUGGGAGCAGAGUUACCUGCAGUGUGAUUGAAGGAGGCUGCUCGGCUCUGACACUGUCAUUAAUAAUCAGCAGCUUUCACGGAGACUCAUGCUGCCGCGUGCGAGUUCAAAACACUUAACCAUUACACAUGACGCUGAGGGCUUGAUAUAUAGCAGCACGUGACUCUGCACUUCAACUGCAAUGCUGUGGAACAACAACAGGAAGUAUUAGGAUUUUGUCAAACAAGUUUAGAGGAAACAUUGUGACACAAUGUCAGCUCAUUAUAGGCUAAAUUAAAAUAAUGACUGUAAUGUUAAGUUUACAAAGUUUAGCAUCUCUCUAUUUGAAUGUUUGAAUAAAGUGUUGCAGGAAAAACACAAUAUCACUGUUGGUUUAUCAUUGAGGAAUAACGUCUUUGACUGAAUUUGUUUUACAAACUCUUUGAGUGAGAAAUCAUCUCCAAGUCCCACUCUUCUUGAAGUGUUCUUAGUGGGCUUUAAAUUGUGAAUGUGACGUUUUUAGUCAAAAUCACGUUACCUGUGUCAUUUUCAAGGGCUUUCUUCUGCAGAGCUCCAGUAGAUCAUUAGCAAGUUGCCUCUGAGUUGUGGGCGGAGACAGCGCUGCUCAAAACACUUCUCUUCAUACUAGCUUGCAGCCUAACAUUGCCGGUGUAGUAGAAGUAGCAGGUAACAUAGGAGCUAUUCGGCUCUCGGACACUAAUGUCUUUAGGGGCAUGAUGAAAGUUAAUAUAAUAAGUUUCCUUACGAGCAUUGCAAUCCGCUAACGCACAUGCUUGUUCCGUGAUCAUCCUCUCUCAAAGCCUGGCCUGGGGCUCUGGGGGCGGAGCAUGGAUUUGCCAGGUAGGAAAUCUCACUGGUCUGACCCUGCCAUCGAGGUCUGCCAGAGAUUUACAGCGAUUUGAAUGCAGAAAUACUCAGAAUAUGUCCUGUAGCAUCAGAAAAAUGCCAUAUGAACAUGUGGACAAAAAGAAAAACAUGGUUUUCAUCGGAGUGGGUCAGAGCGGGUUUGCUCACACAAUUCAAAAUUCCGCAUAUCCCGCUUCUAAAUCUCUACAUGAGGGUGAAAUAUUAUGAAUCUGGGUGUAAUUUACUGGCUGCUAAUGCUGUUACUUACUGUAAAACAGGUUAAUUUGCUCCCUAUAAAACAGCAGUAGAUAUUAAAUCACCUCAUUACCUCACUUUCAGGCUGAAGCACCUCAAUUUUCUCUCCAACUUUUUCCUCUAAAAAUGAAUUCAGCAGAGAUUAAUAAGCAGUUUGUGAGUGGCUUUAAUUUGCCUUGGUAGGGAGUCGGCUGCAGGUACUUACAGCUGAUAAAGCUUUUUAAGAGAUUAUGAGGAAAUGAAGGGGAAUGGCAUAGUACCUGCUGAUACUUCUGUUGCUUUACUUGAAACUCUUUGAUUUGUGCCUGCACAUAUAGAUUUAUAUGCAAAAAACACAAAGACUUUUUCUUAUAUGUGCUUGAUGCUGACAUGCGUAGUUUCCUUGAUUUUAAGUGUUGGCAAUUUCCCACUCAUGCUCACAAAGACCUGCCAACCAAGAGAGAUAAUUGCAAUGCCUGAGAUUCAUCUGGAGAUGUCUGACUAAUUAUUUUGUGUCAUCAUUUAAACUGUCGGUUGAAAUCCAAUUAUGAGGCUGUCCAUGUAGCUUACACAAUUAGGGCGGGUGUAAAAAAUUGAGGAUUAAACAGCCUUAGCGAGAGAUAAGUUAUAGGGAAGCAGUGCCUGAAAUAUGACGAAUUUCAUUGAGAAACUUCUGAAACUAGAUUUUGAUGUUUUAGUACAGCUAUUUUCUGGAAACAAAACCCCCAGUAAGAAGAAAUUUAGCUUUGAAGAAACACAAAACACAUGGGGAUACCCUUCUGAAAACCGUGAGCUUUAGUGUAGUGCCAAAACGUUUUGUUAGCAGUAAACUUGAUUCAUCUCACUACAUCUCCUCCCAUGAUAUUUCUAUCUGACAAACUGUCUGGUGCAUAAAGUAAGAAGCCUAAAGAGGCUUCUGGGGAUGCUCAAAGUUGAUAAAUAACAUAAAUAAUGAUUGUGUAAAAAAAACAUUGCCGCAACAAGAGAAGCACAGAGCUUGUUUUAGAGGUUGACUGACACAUACUGAUGCCACAAAGUUGUUGCUUCUUCCUGAUAACUUAUGAAUCAUGUGCACACUGUCAUUGACCUCCUGCUCUCCGUCUCUCUCCCAUACACACAUACAUACAUAUUCUGAAGUUAGCUGUCAUGUCUUGUAGUAGACCUGCUACAUUUCCAUCCAGUGUCCCCAGGGCCCCAGCAGCACUGCAUAAAUGAGUAAAUAAACUUUGACCUCGGGCAGGUCUAUAAAUUGUGAUUCUCUCAAAGAGGUGUGUCUGUUAGUCGAUAUACUGAGGGGAUCUCUGUCUGUUUCCAUCUCAAACCAGGGAAACAAGUUCCCACUGAGACUGGACUGCAGCAGCAAUGAAGCUAGAAAAAAACCCUCACCGCACCAUCAAACCCUUGACAGCUUGUCUUGCUCUUUGCCACUCUCUCCAUUCUCAGUCUCCCCUCUUAUCUUCCUCUUCUCUACUAUGCCCUUUACCCUCCCUCAUUCUUCUCUGCAUCUCCAGCUCCUCUCCUCUUCCUCACUCUUCUUAUUCGCACUUUGACACACUCUAACUGUUUUUCUGCACCUGAUAGGACCCCUAAACACACUUUGCCCCACUGUUAAAUCAAUGCAGAGCACACCUGAGCGACAGCCACAAUCUUCAUACCUGCCUUUUAUUCCCCCUGCCUUAAACUCACGGUGAUUCUCCUGUUUGUGCUUCAGGAACUGAGUUUGUUUCUCCUUCAUUCAAACACUUUGGUUGUAUAUUCUGAAAAGUUAUAUCAGUGUGGAGUCUUUUUAAUUUGUUUUGCUUUUCUUCAGUUUCCUUUCUUUAGUUUGCCUCUGCAUGACAAAAUCAAAAUUUGUUUCUUAGCCAGUGUUUCACUCAUUUUUUUUUUCCGAUUGUAUUUUGAUGUUCAUCAUCUUCUGUCAAUCUUACAUCAGUUUUUAUUAAUUAAUUAAUUAAUUUAUUUAUUUUAUUUUAUUUUUUGGAGGGGGGGCAGUUUUUACCUCCAUGAGAUAGGUACGAAAGAAGAUUAGGGCCACAAGAAGAGGAAACAAUAAUAAUUACAGGAGGGAGAUUUUUUUUAAAUUUCCAUUGCAAGAUUUAAGUGGAAAUAUUUUGAGAUUAAAGUCGAAAUUUUUUAAAGCUGAAAUGAAAGAAAUUAAAAUUUCGACAUCAAAGUCGAAAUUUCAAUACUUAAAAAAAAAAUCAAAAUUUCGUGAAUAAAAUCAAAAUUUUAAAAUAAAAUUUUUUCAUCUCAAAAUUUUUACAUUUUGUAAUCUCGAAAAUUUGACUUUACUCUUAAAAUUUAAUUUUUAAUCUGGAAAUUUUGACUUUAUUGAUAUAAUUUUGAUUUCUUUAAUCUUGAAAUUUUGACUUUAAUCUCCUUCCUGUGAUUGCUUUUUUUCUCUUCAUGUGGCCCUAAUCCUCUUUCAUAGGUAAGACACCUGGGGCCUCAUGUAUCAAUACUUGCGUGGGACUCAUACCAGAAACGAGCGCACGCAAGGUCCGUCACGCUGAAAAAAAUGCGUAUGUAUCAAUGUGUGCGGGCGCCGAAAUCCACGUGUGUUUCCUUGAUAAAUCCCAAUCAGCGUGGAAUUGAGCGCAGAUGUCGGAGUGACUGGGCCCGCCCCCGUUACGCCCUCCUAUAAAUAUGCAGAUUUAUUUAAAUAGGGUCUCCCUGUCCUCGCACGCAGACAAAAUGACAAGAAAAACUAAAUUUACGGCGUGCGAGGUGGAGGUGCUGGUGGCGGAGGUGGAGGAGCGACAGCGUGUUUUGUUUGGCAGCCUGUCCAGUGGCGUCAGUGCAAAACGAAAACGCUUGGAGUGGGAGAAAGUUUGCGAGAGGGUGAACGCGGUGGGUUCCGAGACACGCACCCCCGCGGAGAUUAAAAAAAAGUGGUCGGACCUCAAGGUGGAGGUCAAGCGGCGUACAGCUGUCCUCCGGAGGAGUACCGGCCAGACAGGUGGGGUUCCGGGGGAGGAGACCCUCACGCCGUUUGAGCAGCGGGUCGUGGCGAUUAUUAUUAUAGGGUAAGUGGCGUGUCACACAAAUGUCCACAUGCUUUGCCAUCCCACUGAGCAAAAGACGUAUAUUAGACGUCUAGUCUAAGUUUAUACUUCAUUUCAACGUCGGGAUUCAGUCUAUUUCUAGACGUGAUUUAUACUUCGCCCUUAACUUCAUUUUUCGAUAACUUUUUAUGCAAUAAACAACUGUAAUGUGCAUAACUGACCUCGAAAUACUGGAUUACAUUACCUAUGAUACCGUGGAGAGAGAUGUAAACGCAACAGAUACACAGAAGCAGGAAUUGAAAUGAACAAAUAUUUUUAUUGUGUCACAGAAAUCAAUGUGUCGGCCGUGUCGCCGGCUUGCGGAACCCCGGCCCGCGGCAGCCCGUCUGCCGGCUCAGAGUCGUCGGCCAGGACCAGCGGCAUUCGGGCCACCCCGGCCAUCAGCACCAGCGCGCCGACAAGCGGUGGAGCGUCCACCAGCCGCGGCGCUUCCGCUGGACCACCCGGACGCAGUGGAAGGGUCCUCACGGAGGCGGUCCUGCAAUCGCAGGAAGAAAUCAUCAGGGGGAUCGCGGGGAUCAACGAGCGGCUGGACCGGCUCGUAUAUGUCCUUGAGCGUCUGAUGGCGAAAAUAAAUUAAUUUGGCUCAUUGAACUGUGUAUUCACUUCUUACCCAUUCACCAAACACCGCCACACAGCGUCGCCAAAGUGCCGUCAACGCAAGUAUCGGCUCAACGCCAACUUCUACACCACCUCCUCACUUUGCGUUGAUUAGCGCUGGAACCGACGCUCGUUUCGUGAUGAUAAAUCUGGACGUGUGCGCCGAUUUUGGCGUACGCAAGGUUUUCUGGCGCCGCCAGCGUUGAUACAUAAGGCCCCUGAUGAGAGUAAGGAAAUGUGGGAAGUGGAAAGUGAGAGAUGAUAUGCAGCAAAGGCUCAUUGCCCUGUUGUGAAAGUGAGGACUAACCUCUAGGGUGUACGCUUAAACCAAAACAGCCAACAGCAACUUCUUCACACAUUCUGUUUGCUCUGUGGAUUUCUUCUACUCACCCUGACAUCAACAGUUUGCUCUCCAUUUGUUUACGUGUGUGUGUCCCGGUGCCUCAGAUUGACGUCUGAAUCUGUCAGUGUCUCUGAUGUGAUUGUGAUGAGAUGCAGACUCAUUUAACUGCACAUCAAAGCAGCACAUUACCCCUGACAACAGGCCUUUGUGUGUGUUUUGUGUGUAUAUUUCAGGCCCGGAGACUUCAGGCGCAUAUGCUUCCCAGUGUGUAGUCUACUUGUUAGAUGAUUUAAUGAGCUUCAUAAUUGGAUUGGAUGGAAUCUGAAACUUGGAGAGCUGAGAUGCUGAACAGGAGAGGGAAAGACACACACUCACACUGAGGACACACACAUGAAAUACACACAAGCAGUAACCUUUUCCUCGUUGGUUGAAAGUCUGAAAAAGGUUCAGGCAAUGAAGGAGCACUGCAUCUGGAAUGGCGCGGAUCCAGUUUGAUUGCAUGAUGAUGCAGAACCCGCAGAUUCACGUGCAGUUGUGUGAUGACUAGUUGUUUUUAGCCACAUAAGCUAACCAUAUAAGCAGUAGCCUGUGUCCUUCCAGAGGAGGAAAUCUACUUUUAGACUUCUAAAAUCAGCAUCUCCUCAGCUAUGGUGUCAUCGGGGUGAAAUGCUGUCUAUAAACCUUUCACUUGUUCGUCCCCGCCCGUGUGCAUGGUGUGAGAUACGAUCUGCCUGAAACAUGUAGUGUUUUAUUUUGAAAAGAAGCUGGAUGUUGUAUUUUGUGUCUGUGCCCAACUUCCUUUCCAGCACAGGUUAAUCUGUGCUGAAUUUAUCCGGCAUGCUCCGGCGUCCGGAAAAAAUAGAAUUCUUGCGAUCAGCUGCGGAGUCCGGUGAUCCGCAGCGGAUCAGAAAGAAGCUGGUGGAAAUUGACACAUUGACUUGAACGGUUUUGAUCAGCAAUGAUUAGCGGAUACGGCCUUUUCAUAGCUGUUCCAGAUUGCCAGUUACUCACAGCUGAGAGCCACACAGGUCUCCUUCAUCCGUACUACAGCCUGCAACCAACACAUACAGGGAACAAAAAGUAGCAUCACAGAUAAACUGUGAAAGGAAAUAAUAUUGAAUAACAGAUUGACGGUUCUUAGAAAAGAAAGAGGAAGUGACAAUGUGAUAAUGAAAAAGGGAGGAAAGAGUGAUGUUCCCCUGAAAAUAUGGUGAGAGGAAACUUUCUAUGUGCAGGAGAAGCAGCAGAUGUCUGGGACUUCUCAUUUGCUUGGCUGCAGUACAAAUGUUCAGUUUGUUUUGGGCCCAUCAAGGUCCCCUGGGAUCAUCUUUGACCAGAAUGUAAAUGCGGCUUUGGAGAAAAGUACUGGGAGCAACUUGCUCACAAGAAGACUAAAUUGCAGAGAACCAAAGGUUAAAUGAUGAGAAGUUAUCUGUAACCUUUUCUGUGCAUUAAAAAGACCCUAUGAGAAUAAAUGCAGCAGCAGCUCACUGACCGAUGACACCACAGACUUGUAUAGUGCCACAGGUCAGCUAUUGAUGUUUAGCCCUCUAUGCAUUUAUUAGUAAAAACAAACAAAAUAAAUAAAUAAGGGAUUGGUUGGACGAUAACUCAGUACGAUGUUUUAUCUUAGUCCAUAUAGUGAGCUUUGACUCAUCUGAUGGCAUGCUCUAUUUUUAGUGCUCUGCCCUUUUCCUUCACAGCGGUCUACCAGCUCCCUUUCUCUGUCAGUUUUUCUGUCACUUUCCCGUGAAGGCCUAGCAAAGCAUCAACAGGGAUGAAAGCCUGGUUAAGAUUCAAAUUUUCCUCUCUCAUUCAUUGAAAGAUCAGAUCUUUAACUGUACACCACCCCGUUCUUUUGAUCAUUUUUAUCAAUAUCUCUCUUGUCUUUUUUGCUUUUAAUCAACUGUGAUUUUCACCUCUUAUUCACAUUUUCUGCCUUUGAAUGAUUUGUUACUGGGGAGUUCAGUCAGAUAUCACUGAUUCCUUCAACACUGAACAGCAUGUUCUCCUCAGGCACAUAAAUAUUUACUUCAUGUCCCACAAGUUUUAUAAGCUGAUAAGGCUGCUUUUUUCAGCCUGUUUUCAUUUUGGGGCUUUUAUACUGUAAAACUUCAAACAACAAAAAGGAUAAUAUGCUAUAAGACUGACAGGAACAGGGACCCAGUUUCUGAAAAAGAAAAAAAAAAGUGCACAGCUAAAGCCACUUAUGUGUGACACAGUGUGACAGGUUCCUGUUUGAUACUCCACUUCGGGACUAAUGUGUUUUAUCCCUGACCAAAUAUUUGAUGUUUUGCCCCUCUUUCCUUUCCUAACCUCAUUUUUUUUUCUAAGGCAAACCAGCAUGCACAUGUGUGCUGCAUGGACCACCUCACUUUGUAACAGGGGCCACAGCAGGCAGCCUGAGUGAUUAUUGAGUCCUCUUUAUAAAGCACUGUGAUGAGAAAAGAGUGACAGGAUAAACUGAGAACAAUAAAGAAAAAAGGAUAAGAGCAAACAAAGAAGAAAUCCUGAGUUAUGGAUACAGAUGCAGCAAAUGCAGAUUGGGAGGUACACUUUGCAAAGAGGGGCAAUAAGUCAGAGAUUAAAGAUCAAAUCAGAUGGCAUAUUUAUCACAAUGAUCCUUUUUCCCGUAAAAGUUCUUCAAUUGAUAAGGAAAAUAAAUCACUACAGCUUCGAUCUGUACCAUAGACUGUAUAUAGAAUGGACAGCGUCUGACUCCUUACUGGGUGAAGCCACUCCGAGAACAGCACCCUCUGUUGAUUGGCUGCAGUAUAGGUCAUAAAUCCCGCCUCCACCAGCAAAGCUUUUGAAGCUGUGGACAAACUUUAGAAAUUUAUUACACAGAAUAUAAAAUUUUCUCCCCCCUGCUUGUGAUGUUGAUAUGUAGUUACUGUCAGACUGGUUUGUGCUCAAAUCCUUUUUUUUCUGUUCAGCUCCGUUUUUAAAAGUUAUUAGGGGGUUCAUGUUUUCUAUGAUUGACACCUGAUACAGCCUAUGGGCAUUCAGGGAUUGCGUAGCUCACCCGGGGGAUACGCUGUUUGAGCUGAGCAUCAUCACAGUGACUCUCGGCGACUGCGUGGCCGAAUGCGUGCAUCGCUACAGCGCAGCGCUGGUUUCAGGAAAUGAAGAAAAAUCCCGGAAAUAUCAAGAGCUUUUUGGCUCCAAAUCCGUAUACAGGUGGUAGGCGGAACCAAGUUGUCCAUAGUAUAUACAGUCUAUGAUCUGUACAUUUUAAAAGUGUACCAAAUGUGAAUAAAGAUAUAUAUAUAUAUAUAUAUAUAUAUAUAUAUAUAUAUAUAUAUAUAUAUAUAUAUAUAUCUUGCACUUUAUAUUGCAUACUUUUAGGGCUGGGGUGAUUCGUUGACGUAUUCGACUACAAAAAUUUGUCAACGCAAAAAACAUGCGUGAUGAUGUAAACAGUGGUUACCCCAGGUAACGGUGGAAGCAUGGACAGCAAACGAGCUCCACCUAAUGGGGCCAAUUUCAAACCUACUUUAUCAUGAUCUAUUAGCAGCUCCUCUCAAUCAAGGCAUGUGUUUUUUCCGGCUUCCUCGUUCACAAUCCAAGAUCAAGCUGCUGUCAUUCAAGGAGAUAUGCUGUGACCUGUCAAUCAAAUAACCCACCGCUUGUGCAGCAAACGCCACAAUGGACACUGCAUCAUACGCCCUGCAUCCCAUAUCUAAUUCAUUCACUUUAAGCAGUUGGCUUGGAGUUUAAGCAUCAGUUUUGUGCUUGUAUUUGUCCUAUAACUCGCUAAUUAAUCAGCUGUGUGAUCGCCGACAAUAGCUCGCUAAUGCUAAUACUCGGCACACACGAGCUCUGCUGCACAUAUGUAUACUGAUACACAAGUCCGAGAUAGAGCCAUGUAAGCAAACAACUCAUUUUUAAAGUGUGGUGGCUUUUAUUUAACUGUGGUACUGCGCCACAAUUGAUUGCAUAAAGGGGAAACCCUGUUAUCUAGCGUUGUGUCAUACUCUGCAAUGUAAACAAACACUGUCGCCAGCAUUAUGCCAACCGCGGCCCACAAUGCAUUGUGACAUAAUGUGCCUCUGCGACAUAAUGUGUCUUUUGGCCCAUGUGAUUUGACCCAUCCGAAAACCAACAUGAGUGAAGCACUUUGCAUUUUUUAGCAAGUUAUGAUGGCAAGGAAAAACUUUCCUGUAACAGGCAGAAACCUUGAGCAGAGCCGGACUCAUGUUGGACUGAGUUUCAGUCUUUUAUUAUUUAAAAAGGCAACAGCUUAAAAAAAAAAACCUCAGUGUGCUUUAAAGUUAAACCAUCUAAAGUUGUGUAUUGAUUAAUAUCAUACCGUACGUUGUUUUUUUAAUGCUCUUCCACUGACACAAGACCUUGCUGCUGUUUACCUCAGCUUAGGCUAUGACUCCAGAAUAUACAUGGUAUCAGCCAUUUACAGGCACUCUUUCCAGUAUCCAGUAUAAAUCCCUAUCAGUUUAUUUCUAAUUUAAAGUAAAAAUGAUCAAACUUGACAACGAAACUUCAGACACUGCUGGUUAUCAGUACUGCUUUUCUUGUUUAUUCCCUACCACCCGUCUUAGAUCACCUCCUCUUGGCUUUCUGCUUCUGAAAACUCCAUUCAUUUUGUUUCUUGGUCACCUUGUUCAACGCGCUGAACCCCUCGAUAAACGAUAGGCUGUUCAAGAGCACAAAUCCUGUUUGAUGCUGCCGUGCAGAGCAUCAGUUGGUGCUUAUCAAAGACAAUGUCAUUUGUAGAAGCAGAGGAGUGGGUGUUUAUGUUUGUUUACCCAUCUGCAGGAAGAGUCAAAUGUGAUGGGAGGUCUGCUGUUAGGCUAUCAAGGAAAAGACAUUCAGCCUCUUAACUUGAGCAAUUGCAACAACAAAACGGUUGUAAGAGGAGUGAGCCAUUACAACUAUUCACAAGGCUGUUGUGUUGUUAUUGCUCAAAGGCACAUUAUCCAUUCAGGAAAAAGAAUCUGAGAUGCAUUGAAGUGUGAGACGGCUUGUGCAUAAGAGUGAGGAUUCUCGUAUGUAAUCUUUGAAAAGUAAAAGAAAGGUGACAUUUUUUUACUUGUUAAAGGGCAAAUUCACUUAAACGCCUCAUCUACUCUGAAAAAAUAGCAAUAAAAGUCAAAUCUGAAUCAUGGAGUGACUUUUCUCAGCAAGAGAUGAAAAAUCAAAUCCACCAGAAAAAAAAAACAAAAAAAAAACUGCUAAUAACUUUGUAUCUUCAAAUAAAUACUGAUCGAAUAGAAAUAUGAUUUUCAGAUGAGAAAGAAGUAUGGAAACAGAUGUACCUCAGUUUUAAUCUGAAAGCUGGCGGGUGGUCAUAUGGCAGGAAAGGAAGAGAACAAAAGGCAAAUAGCGAGAUGUGGUAAGAAAAUGAUAGAGCAAACAGUUUGGUGACCUGUGGGAAAUCAGUCUUCCACAAUUCUGCAGUUUAAUCCUGAAGAGUGGCAUCCACUUGCUUUAUAUGUCACGCUUUAAUAUGCAUCCAAUCAAACAUUGGUGAGGAAAGACAAACAUAGAGUGAAUCUAAAAUCAAUGAAAGAAAAGCAACAGAUGUAUUAGCUCCAACAUUCAACCCCACUGUAAACCCCUGCGAUGUUUGUGCUCGUUCUGGUCAAUCAGAUUCAUAUAGUUUUCAAGGACACUGAGGAAAAACAUCUGUUGCGUAUGCAAAGGGCUUUCAGAUGAAGGUUGGUCAUCAUAGUUUUCUGAGACUGUUGUUGAUCAGUGGUGCUGUGCUGUUUUUUUCUCUGCUCUCUGGGACGUACUGUGCCAUGGCUCUACUUAGAGUACUAAAGAAGCUGUAUCCUUGCCUCUUUUUUCCUCUCUUCUUAUUAUGCUAUUUAAAUGCAGCAGCUGCAGUGAAGGAGGUAAAUACAUCAGACCACGAAGAGCCACCAAAAACAGUUUUCUCCCCUGUCUCAUCAAAAGUUCAUACCACAAGCCUCUCAGGAUGCGGUGGUCUAAGUAGGGCCCCAUGAUUUCUGUGAAAAACACCAACAAAUUUGUAGAACUGGACAGUAAGAAAUGGGAACAAGUGCAAAAUGUGGGAUAUCAGGAAAUCUGCAGAAUUUUUUCUUGCUCAGAAAAUCUCUGACCUCUAUCUUUCUCUGCAACUGAUUUACUGCAGUGCCUAACACAAGCUCUGCAAAAGAGAGAGGGAGACAGGUCCUUCAUUACGUCCUUCCUGUUGACACUUGAUGAUUGAAAAGUGAUUACCUGUGUUGAACACCAUUGUUACCUCUAAUACCAUUGUUCAAAAAGUUUUGUGCAGCUGUUAGCUACCGCAUUGAAUAGUUUCCAAAUUAUUUCAUUUUUAAUGAGCCUUUUUCACAUGCAGAUCACCUUUGAAAAUAACAGGAUGUUAAAGGGAUAUUCCGGCGUAAAACUAAGUUAGGGUCAAACUCACCGUAACACAGAGUUAGACACCCACAAGUCUUCCUUAGUGCUUAGUCUCUCUGCUAAAGAAAUCAGGCAAAUCUAAAAAGAUGUUUGGUGGUCAGUGCUGUGGCUAGGACCCUUUUUGUACUGUUGAUGAAGUUAGGUGCUGUUCUGAGCAUUAUUUAUGGCUAUAGAGUGGCUUUUUGGUUGAGUGUGUGGCUCUCUGUAUUGCUUUCUGUGGUCAUUACUAAAGUUGGUAUAACUAGAGAAGCAAGCGGUCGACAACAUUCAUCUCUCAAUGGGGUGUCUAACUCGGUGUUGCAGUGUCUUUGACCCUAACUUAAUUUUAUGCCCGAAUAUCCCUUUAAGUGGGAUAAGCUAAAGUUGUGUUAUUUGGUUGUUAUUAGACCAGUCCAACCAACCUGUUUCCUUUAAACCUGCUCAUCUGUUAAAUGUUCCUAAUAGGUGAUUUUUGAGCAUUCCUCAAUUUUCCCAGACUUUUGUUUUGUUGUACUUUUUGGGAAUGUAUUUCAGGCAUCAAAUACUUGCAAAAAACAAUCAAUCUCAUAACAUUAAAAAUCUUGUCUUUGUAGUGUAUUGCAUUGAAUAUAGAUCAAAAAGGAUUUGCAGUUAAAACUUCACUUCAGAUCAUGUGAUCUUUGAUUGUGAACUAUUAAAGUCCUCUAUGAAUAAUAAUGACCCGGUUUCCAUGUCAGAUGUUGAAGAUCUGACAACAUUUUCUAAGAUCAGUCUGAGACAGUUUUAACUGAUGUUAAAAACAUUUGAGGACACAAAAUAUAAAUCUGUAUUUGGAAGAGAAACAAAGAGACAAGGGAAAAUAUAAAACAACAAAAAUGAAAGGGUUACAGCUCUGAAUUGUCUGUCACUGUCCCACUUUCUGUUCAAAGUUCAUUUUUUCUGUCUCUUUGUUUUUUAACAAUCUGUCCCUUUGUACUCCAGUCAACUUUCUUCAAUCCUCCAUCUCUGCACCUCAUCACAUGCGUCUCCUUUAAUCUAGUCUAUACCCAAGUUUUGUCUUUUGCCUCCUUCACAAAUGAAUCAGCUUCAAGGUGACAGUGUCUUUGCACUGUACUUUAAUGAACAUAAAACAAUCAAAGACUUGACAUCACACACUAAACCCAGGACAAACUCUCUUCCCUGAUGUAAAUAGAACACACACCCAGGGUGCUGAGCCUGGAUGCUUUUAGUAUUUUCUCCUAUAAAGCUAGAACAACGUCAGACCCUGAUAAACAUGUCAAGAAGGAUUUGGUUUAUUAUCUAUGAAUGAGUUUCUGCUCAUGUUUCAGGUUUUAGGUUGCAUUUUACAAGUAUUUCUUUGACCCAGAUAAUGCACACCAUAAAUUCAUGUAAACAGUUUCUGAAGUGUCCUCUUUACUUGUUAUAUCUUGCUGCAUAUAGCUUCUCAGUAUCUCCAUGUUCCAGGUGUAGGGGUUCAGCGCCCCUUAUGACCGCUAUACGAGGCCUUUCUCUGACGCCAAGAGGGUGUGUGUGGAGAACUCCAGACAGCUGCAGGCUGCCUUUACAGAUGAUAUGACAACUACGAUGCUAGAUGGCUGUCUUACCAGACUGUGUAAUUAGUAUUUUGACUAUAAUUUAUAAUUUUCUCUCCUGCACAUCAGUGUGUUAAAUCUUGGCUAUCAGGAGAAGAAAUAUUGGGAUUGGAACAAACACACAACAGAAACUAUUUACAUAUUUAUACUAAUUCUUCCAGGCAUUUUUUUUUUGCUAUUUACAGUUGUUAAUGCCACUCCUUGAAGCAGUUCCUGUCUGGAAUGAGACAGAAGGCCACAUCAUACUGCUCAUGAUCUCGUCUUUGCUUGUUUCCAAGCAUUGAGAGCCAUUAUUUCUUAUUUUGCAGACAAGCAGGGAACUUUCUUGUCUGUUGUUGAUCUUUGGUUGCUUCUUAUUGGACACUACUGCCAAAGGAACAAAAGAAGAACAAUAUGAGACCAUGUAACUGGUCGAAAGUUUGACAGAAAAAGAUGUCACCAAAACAGCUUGUCAAACCCGGAAGACAUUAGCGGCAUUUAGCAAUAGCGAUCUUUUUUUUAAUCACAAUAAUAUAAUAAAUUAUCAUGUUUUCACCAGUAUAUCACUGCAGAUUUAGCAUCAAACGUCUCUGAUCAAACACUUGUUUUUGUGGCUUGAUUGUAAACUUUAUGGGAGGUGUAGAAAUGCCUGGAAAUCCCUGAUAGAUCUCCAAAAGGGUAAGCUUUUGAACACUUUUUAUCCCAUAGAGAUACACGGUAUAGUUCCCAAGAACUGUAAACAAUAUUAAUGGCGUCAUGUGGGAUUGCCGGCGAUCCAGCGGAGUUUUAAGUGAUAAAUAAACGAAAAAUUAAAAGAAGGCAUUCGAUAAAGAUAUGAUUUCAUAAGUGGUUUAAAAGAAGACACUUGUAGGAGAUUCUCCACGUGAUGGAUCAGAUUCUCCUCAUCCUGCAGGUGCUGACUAUUCUCAGGUUUUAAACUAAUGAGACCAACUAACCAAGCCUCUCUGCUCUGAGCGUAUGUGUGUAAUGAAGACCAUUAGUGAAACAAACAAAAACAGCUGCUACUCUGUAUCAACAUAAUUGACCAGGAUAAAAAAAAUCAAACAGGGAAAAGUUAAUUCUCUUUUAAAUGAUUCUCUACCACCUGCAUCCCAAUAGCAGAUAAGAGCAGAUCCAGCAGUGUGUUUGGUUUGAUUUCGCUCUGCUUCCCCAGACCUAAACAAACUCUGACUCAUUCUCCCUGGUCAGAGAGAUAACAGGAGUGCUGACUCUCUAUUUAGAUAUACCUUUAACAUCUUUUACGAAGUGUUUUCAUGAAUCCUCAUUUAACUUCUCUUCCCUUUUCACAAGCCCAAAGAAUAGGCUCUUUUAGUGUGAUGACUGCCAGACUGAGAUCAUAGACUCCUCCUAUAGGUACACAAGCUGAGUAUUCACACCCUGAAUGAAAAAUGACGACUUUUCUUACCAUUGAAAUACCCAAAAUACCAUCCUAGCACCGGCUCAGAAGGAAAGAUACAAGAAAGAAGAAUUAAGGCUAAAACUCUCCCAAUGACAGCAAGAGGAAUGAUCCAAUAAAGGUUAAACCUUUCUCACCUGUGAAUUGCUGGAGUUAUUGAUAUAGAUACUGACUGCUGUGCAACCUGAAAACUAAUAUUGACCUGCAUGGUAUAAAUGAAAAUCAAAGCUAAAAUCUGCAUGUAUUAUUCACAGCAGUAUCCACUUAUGGUGGAGGAUGGGCUGCUCUGCCAUUCGCUCUCACCUCCGUGGAUGUCUCUGCCAAUUAAGCCACAGCUCUCUGAAGGUAGUGAGUAAUGAUCGCAACAGUAAGGACAAGAAGGGGGGAGGGAAGAAAGAGCAGCAAAGAUGAGGAAGAGUGGUUAAGAACAGUCAUUUCUUUUCAAAAGCUGACAGCUCAUAUCACUUCUUCAAAUAGGAUCAAUGGGCUGUGUUAGCUUUAUUGCUGAACACCUCAGGCUAAACGUUAGAUCUCAACACUUCUCAGUUACUGAUGGUUGCCUCUUUGAUUGAAGGGGGGUGGAAAACUUCGCACUGCAGACACAAUAUCAAAGACCAAGAAGACUCUAAACUACUACAUCCAAUUAUUUUGAAAACUUGUCUCAGUUAGCUCCCUUGCAAAUAAAAAAUAUUUUGUGACAUUUUAUGUUAGUAGACAAAAAGAUCUGCACACUGAACUCUGGGUAGAUGCUCCUGAUGUGACUCAAACACUCCUGCAACGACUACCCUUCAGUCUUUUUAUAGCAUGACAUAUCUGCUGAUGAGGGUGGCAGUAGUGCUGUCUGUCUUUCUCUCUGCCUCUCUCAUUCUCAGCCUCCUCUCCCCCUGUUCAAUAUAAUGUCACUUUGAUCUGAGUGAUUCUCUCAGCCCAGCUACACCUCAAGAAGCUAGGGCUGUCACUUUAUCAGAUUUUUACUUCAUGUUUAUUGUGGCCAUGAAAUAUCACAGUGUUAUGGUGAUAUCUAUAAGAAACUAGAAAAUAAGACUACACAGUCAGUCAAACUUCGGAAUGGCAAGGGUGGGGCAACAGUGCGUGUAAGUGCGUCUGCUGUUUUGAUAAUUCUCACUAUUUUAUCAAAAUUCAGCUUAAUAGUCUGACCAUCCUAGCUAGGGAAAAAAUCACAUUACUUAUUUCAGCAGACAGUUUUUUUUUUUUGUUUGUUUGUUUGUUUUUUAAAGCUAUCCAGGCUUGGCUUAUUCAAAACCAAUGGAGCUGAAUCCAGACCCCAUAAUGAACUUUCACGCUUUGGUCUAUUCUGCGUCUGUUUAGAAGUCACUGCGUCAGGUCUCAAUAAACGAUCACUUCCAACUUUAACACAAAAUCAAUCCAGACAGCAGGGUCCAAGACUGAUAUUAUCCUUUGACUUCACCUAUUCUGACCACUUAACUGAGAAUCCCACUGGAUCUGGAACCGCUCCGCUCCGGACCGGCAGACAGAUCAAAUAUGCAAGCAUAUAGCGCCCACCUGAUCCGAUCCGCUGCCUUCGGAGGAGAAGUGAUCGCAAGAUUACUGAUAUUUCUCGCAAGACUGGACAUGAUCUCAUUAGAUCUCGCAUGUUGAUAAACGGCGAUGUAUAUAAACACCCACAUCCCACAACCCUGGCCUCUCCUAUUAUCAAGUGAAGAACAGUUUAAUGCAUUGACUUCAUUUAAUUAAAAAAAUUAACCAGGUAUUUUACUCUAUAAUCGCAUACAACUUCCGCUGCUGCUUGUGCUCCGCUGCACUGAAUUGAUUAUAAUGCUUGCAUAUUUGAUCCGCCUGCCGUGUUGGUGCGGAGCGGAGCCGUUUCAGAUCCUGUGGGUUUUGCCCGUUUCAAUGGGCCAUCAAGUUAAUGGUUGUGUCUAGACUAGGACCCUCUGGAAAUGGGGUUUAUUUGAGCAAACACCCCACCUGGGGGUCUUUGGAAGCCAAAUCCCAGCCAACUGAGAUCACUAACUCCCCCACCUCCCCUUGGUAGUACAAUGCUGGAUAUCAUGCAGGCCAGGAGAGAGACAAGGAUAGGAUGAUGUUGAUACUCUGCUGGCUAUAAAGAGGGGUGGAGAGAGAGAUGUAAGGAAGCAGUGAAAGAAGACAGCAGGGGAGUCAAACUGAAACAACCUGCAAAAGUCCUGCUGAACUAUUGUCUGUGGCAGAGCGCUCUACUUUAUCCCACUGGCAGCUUGUUGAACAACCAACUGCCCAACCCCAGACCUCUGUGAGGAACCAGAGACAGCCGGGGAAACCAGGUAUAAGAACCUCUCUUAUGCCUUCACAAAGAGUAGACAGGUGUAUAAAUUCAGGUUACGCAUCUCUGUAUCAAAAACACAAAAAUCCUCCUUGUGACAUAUAAAGCGCUUAAUGGCCAGGCGCCAUCAUAUCUCAACGAGCUAGUUAUACCGUACUUUCCAUCUAGACCGUUACGCUCACAGUCUGCAGGUCUGCUCGUUGUACCAAAUGUCUCUAAAAGUAGUAUUGGAGGAAGAGCUUUCAGCUACCAGGCACCUCUCCUCUGGAAUCAUUUACCGCUCGAGGUUCGGGGGGCAGACACACUCUCAACUUUCAAGAGUAGACUUAAAACGUUCCUCUUUGAUAAAGCCUAUAGUCAGGGCUGAUUUGAACCAGCUCUUAGUUAUGCUGCUAUAGGCCUAGACUGCCGGGGCUAUCUGGCACACUGAGCUAGAGUCUGUCUCUAUCUCCUCUUUAGAUCUUUAUGUCCCAUAUAAGUCACCGACCAGUUUUCUGUCUCUCUGAGUGUCUCUGAGUCUUUUAGCUGCCACUGGACUAAUGCUGCAAACAGGUCUGCUGCGGAACUGCCUGACCCCAGCUGCAUCCACCCUGGGCCCUGAGCUCCUCCAACUCUUUGGCUCUUUGGCUCCUCUGGACCGUUGCCGCAGACCGGCCCUGAGCUCCUUCUUCUCUCUGAUUCCUCUGGACUGUUGCUGUUACUGUUACUGCAGACAUGAACAUCAGCCUCACUGUCAUUAUUGACAUUAAUAAUACAAAAUAGAACUGACUACGAUUAAGCCUGCUAACUGUAAUCGCACUCAAUUAAUUCAACAUUGUCCAUUAUCACUCAUAUCCUAAACCUGUAAACUGAACUUCUUUUUGUUUCACCAUUACAUGAGCUGUUGUUGUUGUUGCUGUUGUUCCUGCUGCCUCCUGUCUCUCUCCCACCCUCGUUCCCUACUCUCUCUCCCUCCCCCUCCCUCUCCAUACUCAUUCUCUCUCGCCUUUCCCCCAUCUUGUUGUCUCUCUCCCUCCCCCCGUCCUCUCCCCCCCUCCCCUCUUCUCUCUACAUUCCUCCCCAACCCAGCAGCGGCAUGGUGGCUGUCUAGCAUGAGGCUGGUCCUGCCCAAGGUUUCUGCCUGUUAAAAGGAAGUUUUUCCUUGCCACUGUAACUCAUGUUAGUUGAGAUGGGCCAAAAACCCAUCUUAGGUUGGUUCUUGAUCAUCAAACAAUGAGCGUGGUCCAGACCUGCUCUUGUUCCUUGAAAAGCGUCUUGAGAUGACGACUGUUGUGAAUUGGCGCUAUAUAAAUAAAAUUUGAUUGAUUGAUUUGAAAAAGGGUGCAAGUAGAAAAACCAUGGUUACCUGACUUGAAGAACCACCUCUUAGCCACUGCACCACAUCUCAGAUACAGUAUAUAGUUGUCGCUGACUCACCUCAAACUCUAUUGCAGGUACAUUAAAAAUAGAAUCCAGGUCUGCAGUGUCCUAGUCCUUUUAUGUUUGGAAGCUUGUGGACACUUUUCAAGAGUGUUAGCACAAAAUCAGAAAUAGACAAGGAUGACACCAAAGAGUAAAACAACCCUUUGGCUUCCUUGUAACCAGCUGUGCCUAUUUCAUCUGAACCAUACGCUAUCUGGUAUUUCCAAUGAAUGAACUCCAUGUCACUGUUAUCUUAUUUAUUAUGAGGGAUUCUUGUAUGAGGGACUCAUGUUUCAUUUAACCUUCCUGUCGUGUUCGGGUCAAUUCUGACCGUUUUACAACUUAAAACACUCAUAAAUUUUGUAUUUUACAUCUGAUUGCCUCAAGACCUUAUGAUAUCCUCCACACUGUGCACUUGAACAUAUAAAAGUGAUAAUGACCACUUUCAUUAAACUUUGAAUGUUGUAGUCAACUUUGUAACAUCUGUGGUGUUCCCGGUCAAAAGUGACCGCCAUAGGAGAUGAAUGGAUAUCCAGAUUAUAUUCAUCCCCAUACACACUACCCCAACACAGACACACACACACACACACACACACACACACACACACACACACACACACACACACACACACACACACAUCAGACACAUCAGACUGAACUAUUUUUUUUGUGGGGUACACAUCUCUUUCCCACACUUAGGUUCUGACCCUCCCACGUGAACCACCUCCCAAAUCAAACAAUGUAUCAUUUCUUUACUAGACUAGACAGGUGUCUGUUACGAGAACCCCAUUUUUCCCUGUGCACACACACAUGAACCACCUUUCCCAAUAUAUAGCUUGAUGUGCCUUUGCACUCAUUUUACUCUGAGCACAAUGAGUAGGUGACUGACAACACGGUUAGCUGUCAGAGAGACUCUAGACCUCAUCUUUGAAGAUGAAGAGGGCAAUGAGGUUGAGCUAGAGAUAGAGGAGGAUGUCUCAGAAAAAAACUCAAAACAAAACUACAGGAUUCUGUAUAAGCUACGCUUAGUCUGGUCCCUCCCCCAGGACUGGAAAAAAAACUAAAGAAAAGUUAAAAAAAAAAUAAAAAAAUUCAAACGGGCAGAAAACUGGAAAAAAUUAGAGAGAACUAAAAAAAAAACGUAUAAUUUUUGAAAAAAAAAACUUAAAACCGGCAGAAAACUGGAAAAAAAAACUAAAUAAAACAAACAAAAAAAAAGUAGAGAACUAUUCUGAAAAAAAGAAACUGGAAAAAAAAUUAAAAAACAAAAAAAAAAGUAGAGAACUAUUCUGAAAAAAAGAAACUGGAAAAAAAAUUAAAAAACAAAAAAACAAAAACAACCUAAACCUGGUGUUUUGCACACAAAAAAACUGAAGAAAAAAAGAGCUAAAACAGGCAGAAAACUGGAAAAAAAAAUCUUUAAAAAAUGUUUUAAAAAAUUUAAGAGGGGUGUUUUGCACAAAAAAAACUGAAGGAAAAAAGAACCUUGUGGUUUUCCCUCCCAUGGGAGGGUUUUUAUUCCCCUCCUGGAGCUACCACCAUAGCAUGGUGGAGGAGUUUGUGUGUCCCAAUGAUCUCAGGAGCUAUGUUGUCGGGGGCGUUAUACCUCUGAAGGGUCACCCAAGAAAAACAGGUCCUGAGGGAGGGACCAGACUAAGAUUAGCUCAUCCAGACAAAGGUGCCAGGCAAAAAAAUAGGAAAAAAAAGGAAAAAAAAAAUAAGACUAGCUCAUCCAGACAAAGGGGCCAGGAAAAAAAAUACAGAAAAAAAAAAAUUAAGAAAAAUUUUUUUUAAAAAGUAUUUCUAAAAAAAAUAACAAAAACACCCUUAACCUGGUGUUUUGCACAAAAAAUAAAUAAAUUAAAAAAAAUAAAUCAUUAAUUUUUUUCCAGUUUUUUUUUUCAGAUGUACUUUCAUUUUUAUUUUUUCCUUUAGUUUUCUUUAGUGUUUUUUUUUGUUCAGUUUUCUGCCUUUUUUAUUAUUAUUAUUUAAUGUACAAAAAAGCCGGUUUAGGGUGUUUUUGGUUUUUUUUUUUUUGCUUUUUUCAGUUUUUUUUUUAUUUUAUUAAAAAUUUUUCCAGUUAUUUUUUUCAGAAAUACAUUUCUAUUUUUUUUAUUUUCCUGUAGUUUUGUUUUGAGUUUUUUUUUUUGCCUGUUCUUUUUUUUAUCAUUAUUUUAUGUGCAAAACAACCAGUUUAGGGUGUUUUUUUUCCAGUUUUUUUUUUCAGAAAUACUUCUUUUUUUCUUUUGUUUUUUUUUUUCAGUUAUCUGCCUGUUUUAAGGUUUUUUUUUUUUUUCUUUAGGUUUUUUUUUCAGUUUUCUGCAUGUUUUGAGGGUUGUUUAUUUAUUGUGCAAAACACCCGGUUUAGGGUCUUUUCGUUUUUUUAUUAUUUUUUUAUUUUUUUAAAUAAUUUUCUUUUUUUUUUUUUUACUUUUCUGUAGUUUUUUUCAGUUUUCUGCCUGUUUUGAGGGUUAGAUUUUUUUAUUUAUUAUUAUUUUUAUUUAUUUUGAUAUUUUUUGCAAAACACCAGGUCAAGGUUGUUUUUGUUUUUUGUUUUUUUCAGAAUAGUUUUCUUUUUUUUUAAGUUUUUUUCUGGUUUUCUGCCUGUUUAAUGGUUUUUCUUCUUCUUCAAUUUUUUUUUUCCUGGCACCUCUGUCUGGAUAAGCUACGCUUAGUCCGGUCCCUCCCCCAGAACUGGAAAAAAAACUAAAGAAAAGGAAAAAAAAUUUUUUUUUUUUAAACUGAGGGAAAAAAAACGUUCAAACGGGUAGAAAACUGGAAAAAAUUAGAGAGAACUAAAAAAAAACUUAUAAUUAUAAUUUUUGAAAAAAAAAACUUAAAAACGGCAGAAAACUGGAAAAAACUAAUUAAUAAAAGUAGUGAACUAUUCAGAAAAAAAGAAACUAGAAAAAAAAUUAAAAAACAAAAAAACAAAAACACCCUAAACCUGGUGUUUUGCACACAAAAAAGAAAAAGAAAAAAAGAACCUUGUGGUUUUCCCUCCCAUGGGAGGGUUUUUAUUCCCCUCUUCGAGCUACCACCUUAUUGUGGUGGAGGGGUUUGUGUGUCCCAUUGAUUUUUUUUCAAUUGUCUGCCUGUUUUUUCUAUUUAUUAUUAAUUUAUGUGCAAAACAGCCAGUUUAGGGUGUGUUUUUUUUUUUUUUGUUUGUUUGUUUUCUUCAGUUAUUUUUUUUUUUCCUAUAUUUUUGCCUGGCACCUUUGUCCUGAUAAGCUACUCUUAGUCUGGUCCAAAACACCUAGUUAAGAGUGUUUUUUUUUUUUCUAUUUUUUUCAGGAAUACUUUUCUAUUUUUUAUUUUCCUUUAGUUUUUUUUUUCAAUUUUCUGCCUGUUUUUUUUUUUUUUAUUAUUAAUUUAUGUGCAAAACAGCCAGUUUAAGGUGUUUUUUUAUUUGUUUGUUUGUUUGUUUGUUUUCUUCAGUUAUUUUUUUUUCCAAUAUUUUUGCCUGGCACCUUUGUCUGGAUGAGCUACUCCUAGUCUGGUCCCUCCCCCAGGGCCUGUUUGCCUUGGGUGACCCUUCAGAGGCUUAGCUCCUGGGAUCAAUGGGACACACAAACCCCUCCACCACGAUAAGGUGGUAGCUCGAAGAGGGGAAUAAAAAACCUCCCAUGGGAGGGAAAACCACAAGGGUUUUUUUUUUGGUCCAAAACACCUGGUUAAGGGUGUUUUUUUUUUUUCAUUUUUUUCAUUUUUUUUUCCAGAAAUACUUCUCUAUUUUUUAAUUUCCUUUAGUUUUGUUUUUGUUUUUUUUUCAGUUUUCUGCCUGUUCUUUUUUUCAAUCAUUAUUAAUUUAUGUGCAAAACAGCCAGUUUAGGGUGUUUUUUUGUUUGUUUGUGUGUUUUCUUCAGUUAGUUUCUUUUCCUAUAUUUUUGCCUGGCACCUCUGUCUGGAUGAGCUACUCUUAGUCUGGUCCAAAACACCUAGUUAAGAGUGUUUUUUUUUUUUCUUUUUUUUUUUUUUUAAUUUUUACUUUUUUUUUCAGAAAUAGUUUUCUAUUUUUUAUUUUCCUUUAGGUUUUUUUUUUUCAAUUUUCUGCCUGUUUUUAUUUAUUAUUAAUUUAUGUGCAAAACAGCCAGUUUAGGGUGUUUUUUUGUCUGUUUGUUUGUUUGUUUUCUUCACUUAUUUUUUUUCCUAUAUUUUUGCCUGGCACCUCUGUCCUGAUGAGCUACUCUUAGUCUGGUCCAAAACACCUAGUUAAGAGUGUUUUUUUUUUCUUUGUUUUUUUUUUUUUUUUUCCAUUUUUCCUUUUUUUUUCAGGAAUACUUUUCUAUUUUUUAUUAUCCUUUAGUUUUUUUUUUUUCAAUUUUCUGCCUGUUUUUUUUUUAUUUAUUAUUAAUUUAUGUGCAAAACAGCCAGUUUAGGGUGUUUUUUUUUGUUUGUUUUCUUCAGUAAUAUUUUUUCCAAUAUUUUUGCCUGGCACCUCUGUCUGGAUGAGCUACUCUUAGUCUGGUCCCUCCCCCAGGACCUGUUUGCCUUGGGUGACCCUUCAGAGGUUUAGCUCCUGGGAUCAAUGGGACACACAAACCCCUCCACCAGAUAAUGUGGUAGCUCGAAGAGGGGAAUAAAAACCCUCCCAUGGGAGGGAAAACCACAAGGAUUUUUUUGGGGUCCAAAACACCUGGUUAAGGGUGUUUUUUUUUUCCUUUUUUUUUCAGAAAUACUUUUCUAUUUUUUAAUUUCCUUUAACUUUGUUUUAUUUAUUUUUUUCAAUUUUCUGCCUAUUUUUUAAAAUGUAUUAUUAAUUUAUGUGCAAAACAGCCAGUUUAGGGUGUUUUUUUGUUUGUUUGUUUUUUUGUCUUCUUCAGUUAUCUUUUUUCCCGAUAUUUUUGCCUGGCACCUCUGUUUGGAUGAGCUACUCUUAGUCUGGUCCAAGACACCUAGUAAAGAGUGUUUUUUUUUUCCUUUUUUGAGAAAUACUUUUCUAUUUUUUAUUUUCCUUUUAGUUUUUUUUUUCAAUUUUCGGCCUGUUUUUUAAAAUGUAUUAUUAAUUUAUGUGUAAAACAGCCAGUUUAGGGUGUUUUUUUGUUUGUUAGUUUUCUUCAGUUAUUUUUUUUUCCUAUAUUUUUGCCUGGCACCUCUAUCUGGAUGAGCUACUCUUAGUCUGGUCCAAGACACUGAGUUAAGAGUGUUUUUUUUUUUUUUCCGUUUUUUUUUUCAGAAAUACUUUUCUAUUUUUUAAUUUCCUUUAACUUUGUUUAAGUUUUUUUUUUCAAUUUUCGGCCUGUUUUUUAAAAUUUAUUAUUAAUUUAUGUGUAAAACAGCCAGUUUAGGUUUUUUUUUUGUUUGUUAGUUUUUUUCAGUUAUUUUUUUUCCUAUAUAUUUGCCUGGCACCUCUAUUUGGAUGAGCUACUCUUAGUCUGGUUCAAGACACCUAGUUAAGAGUGUUGUUUUUUUCUUUGUUUUUUUCUUUGUUUUUUUUUUUCCUUUUUUUUCAGAAAUACUUUUCUAUUUUUUAAUUUCCUUUAACUUUGUUUUAGUUUUUUUUUCAAUUUUUGGCCUGGUUUUUUUAAUUUAUUAUUAAUUUAUUUGUAAAACAGCCAGUUUAGGGUGUUUUUUUUUUGUUUGUUUGUUUGUUUAUUUGUUUUCUUCAGUUAUCUUUUUUUUCCUUUAUUUUUCCUGGCACCUCUGUCUGGAUGAGUUACUCUUAGUCUGGUCCCUCUCCCAGGAUCUGUUUGCCUUGGGUGACCCUUCGGAGGCAUAAAGCCCCCAACAACAUUGCUCCUGGGAUCAUUGGGACACACAAACCCCUCCACCACGGUAAGGUGGUAGCUCGAGGAGGGGAGGGGAAAAAACCACAAGGGUUUUUUUAUUUAUUUUUUUAUUUUUUUUAGAAAAAAUAUAUUUUUUUAUUUUAGAAAAAAUAUAUAAAUAUAUAAAUAAAUAUAAAAUAAAAUAAUACAUAAUUUUAAUAUAAUAAAAAAAUAUAUGUUUUUGUAGAGUUUUUUUUUUUUCUUUUCAAAAGUACUUCCUUACUUCAAGGAAGUUACUUCUUCUUCCACUUCUCAGGCUUUCUUAACCCCAAGAAGUGUCUCGUCUGUUUCCAGACUGAGGGAGGUGGUUUGGUGGCAUUAGAGGUUGUUGUCUCUGCUGGUCCUGCAGUUCCAACUAGUUCUGGAGAUCCAGCACUCACUUCGAUUUCUAAAGCUCCUGCCAAUUGUUCAGCUCCAGAAGUUUCUGCAGUUUUCUCCAACUCCAUGCAAAACUGCUCGAUGUCCAUGUCCAUGAAGUCCUGCUCCUCAAGCGUCAUCUCACGUUGCCUGAUGUCUGUCUUUUGAAGUUGAAGCUCAGUUGAGAGUUCAUUUGUUUUUUUGUUUUUUUCAUUGUUCAAGCUGGCUUCUUGGGCCACUUUAAGCUCCUUGUUGUCCAUCAUACCGGCUGUCUGGAUGUAGAGCUGUUGUUUCAGCUCCUCCAGCUCAGCCCAGUGCCUCAUCUCUGUUUCAAAAGCUGCUUGCUGCAGAACAGCUAUCUUCUCCGUCAUGGAGUCCUGUUCGGCUCUCAGGAUCUGGAUGGUCUGUUCCUGUAAGAGUCCAUCAUGGUGAGCCUGAUUUUGCAGCUCACGCUGAAGGGUCUCAACUUCCUGUUUCGCAGCGGUGAGAUCAGUUGCAUACUGGAAUUUCAGUGCUUGGUAUGAGGUUCUCAUCUUCUCCUGUUCUUCAUGGAGGACCGCGUUUCUUUCAGUCAGUUCCUGGACUUGUGUUGUGAGCCUCUCAUUUUCCACAAUAUGUGCCACCUUCAGCUCCUCGUAAUCGACAUGAAGAUCCUUCUUCUUCUUCUGCCGGCUCGUGUCCCUCACCUUAAGAGCAAUUCUGUGUUUGGAGAGGGUCUCCUCUGAGCUGUACUUUUGAAGCAUCUGCAGCUCCUUUUUGAGCUCCUUCCCUUUGUUAAUGUACACUUCCUUGAGAGCCCUUUGUCUGGUCAGCUUCUCUUGAGUCACCUCCAACUCCUGGCUGAGCAAGAGUGUUCGGUUCUUCUCUCCCUCGAGCUGAGUCACAGUCCUGGUCAGCUUCUGUUGAGUCACCUCCAACUCCUGGCUGAGCAAGAGUGUUCGGUUCUUCUCUCUCUCCAGCUGUCCAGUUAGCUGAGUCACAGUCCUGCGGAGCGUCUCCAUCUCUCUGUCCCUCAAGUAGAAGGUCCUGUUAAUCCUGGGUCGGUUUGUUGGUCGCUGCAUUGUCUUUGACUGUUUGUAGUCUCAGAGUUCUGCUGCUAAAAGAUUCCGAUUGUCUCUUUCUUGAAGUGUAGCUACUCGCUGAAAGGUUCAAACGAUACCCUGGACAGCUGCUCUACUUCCAGUUAGUAACACGAGAUGAAAGCCGUGAUGAUGUCAUAAUGAUGUCAUCACGGAAUUGUUCGUGUGAUGUCACGUUCUCUUGUUGUUUGUUUACAUUUGAAUUUUUCACAUUUAAAUGUAAACAAAAGCACACCCUAUAACAAUCAUGUCCCAGAUAGCAAAAGAUAGUGAUUCAACGUUGAAUUUUGGUAGAAAAGGUUUUUUCAAACCUGCUGUUAACCCACAUUGAUUUGAGCUGUUUUUGUAAUAGAUGCUUUAUGAAUUGAUAUGUGUUGAUGAGUUAAAUAAGACAACUUAGUACUACACACCAGCUGUUAAACUGAGCUUUACAGAUGCCAUCUUGCCUGUCUACUUCUGUCUAUUGUUGAACCAAAAUUAAAAAAAUAGUUCUCUUUAACCCUCGGAGCAUCUUCAGGACAAAAAUUGACAUUUUGGGUGUAUUUUUUUGUUCUUCUACCAGUAACCCGGUCAGUUUAAAGGCUAGCUGUAUGAAAUUUUGGCACUAUUUUUUAUUUUUUUUUCAUUUUACUUGCACUAAUUCCAAAAGCCUAUCUACUGAAGUGUUUAGAAUAGGAGAUUUGCAUAACACUGACACUUGUUACCCUCAUGGCCAAAUUUGGCCAAUUGACUCCCAUUAUAACCACAUAUUUGUCAUACGCUAUAAUCCUAACAUAUUAUAACGCUUUUUCUAUUCAUAAUAGAUCUAAGCUUUUACCUUCAAAAUUUGGGGAAAAUAUGUUUUAGGUGUAAUGACCCCCUUUAACAACCAGAGGCUAUUACAUAUAGUUUUGGAGAAAUUUCAGUGAAGGCCUGGGUUUCUUACCUCGCAAAAUGCAUAGAAAUAACAAAGCUAAACACCAUAAAAUGGUCUUGGUAUAUUAGCACUGAUAUAAAAUAGUGGUUUGAAUAUGGAUGAGGGAAAAAAAAGAUCAACAGAGCCCUUUUGACCUGGGAUUCUUUGAUUUUCACACAUAGACAGACAUCUAAAGGGUCCUUCUGUAAGGGAAUAAUCGGCCCUCCUGACUCUCAGAUGAAUUCUCACAAUUCACCUCAGAAACAUGCUUCUCAUUCUCCUCAGAGUACUGCAAGAUACAUGCACAUACACACACACAAGUACACACAACUAUAUGUUAAGGAGUUUGGUCUCUGGUUUUUGAUUUCUUUUUUACGUUACAUGUUAAUUUUUUAAUAUAUUUUCAAUAACUGUUUGUAUUUUCACUGCAGUUAUUCAUGUUAACUACUACUCAGAGACAUUGUUUACAGCUGAAAAGAGUGUUAAAUAAAGACUUGGUGGUGAGUAAUGGCUUUUGUGUUAAUUUAAGAGCAGUUAAAAUAGACCAGUCAAAUUUGACCGGGAACACUGAAGUAAGGUGAGGGGUAUGAACACGACAGGAGGGUUAAUAAUGUGUGCAGCUCACUGAGAUUCAGAAACAUUAAUCUCAUCAGUGCUUUCAUACAUCACAGUAGCAGCAGUACGUGAACACUUCUGUGUGCCCUUCAUCUGAAUUCACAGCAAACCAACUUAAAUAGAUCUACCUCUAUCUCUAAACUGUCUGUGUCAUGUUGUUUCAUCCUACAUAACCCCCUUUGUGUCUCUUCCACUCUGUCAUACAUCAUGCAUACUUAAUCUAAGCCUAUUUUCCUUUUUUUUCUCCACUCCUCACACAUUGGUAUGGAGAGACAGCUGCAGACUGCAGACUUCAGUGCACUGAGGUGAGACUGACCUGGUCUUUAUGAAGUGAUUCAUGAGCGAGGACAAUUAGGGGAAGUGGGAAGUGCCUAAGCACCCAACAAAUCAAUGCAGUCCCAAACUAUUAGAUGGGACUCAUAAUUGGCUGCAGCCUCUUCUUCUCCUCACUCUUUUUUUUUUGUUCACAAUAACUAUCAUUAGCACUGUUGCCUCAGCAAGCUCACAUUGAUUUCUUUUAGUUGCAAAGGAACCUGUCACGGUGGCGGAAAACCACAGAGUUAAUGAACACGAGGGAGGUCGGGCACACUCAUUUACGCUUCACUAAAACUUGAAAUCAGAACAGCCAAAUUGUGUUUCCUCAUGGUUCAGUGUGUCUGUUUGGAAUCAAAGCAGUAUUUUUGUUAACUCAUAGUAUUGUGUGUGUGUGUGUGUGUGUGUGUGUGUGUGUGUGUGUGUGUGUGUGUGUGUGUGUGAAAAGGUCAUCACAUUAAGAAUUCAGAGCUGGUAGGUAUUCAGUAAAUGCAGGAAGCAUCUUAUGCUGCAACUAUUUCAGAGUACAGACAUUUCGAUGCUGAACUGCAUCACCACUGGAGAGCCUUUUUGGUUUAACCUUAAACAAGAAUUUUCUUUUGUUCAAUUCUUUUUUAUUACUAUUAUUUUUUUCUUUCUUGAUUUUUUUCUUUCCCCUUUGCUGAACAGAACAGCUGAUUUUAACCAUAGACUGUAUUUAGAAUGGACGCUGUCUGCCUUCUCGCCAGGUGAAGCGGCUACAAGAACAGAACCCUCUGGUGACAGGCUGCAGUACAGGUCAUAAAUCCCGCCUCCACCAGCAAAGCUUAUGGGGCUGUGGACAAACUUAAGAAAUUUAUUGCACAGGAUAUAAAUUAUUCUCCCCCCCGCUUGCAAUGUUGACAUGUAGUUAUUGUAAGGCUGGUUUGUGCUCAAGUCCUCUUUUUUUUGUGCAGCUCCAUUUUUAGAAGUUAUUAGGGGGUUCAUGUUUUUCCAUGAUUGACACUUGAUACAGCCUAUGGGCGUACAAAGAUUGUGUAGCUCACCUACGAUACGCUGUUUGAGCCGAGCAUCAUCACAGUAACUCUCCGCGACUCUCCCAUCGAAUGCGCACAAUGCUUAGUGUUGGAGUGCAUACAACGCUACUGCGCAAUGUUGGUUUCAGGAAGUGGAGAGAAAACGCGAAAUUACAGAGAGCUUUUUGGCUUCAAAUCCGUAUACUGGCGGGAGGUGGAACCAAGUUGUCCAUAGUAUAUACAGUCUAUGAUUUCAACCUGUAAGAGCAGCAGCAGCAUAUCCUCAUGACUUUGUGGUUUUAGUAGAAGUGGACAAACUUAUGACCAUUCAAACCAUGUAAAAAAAUUACACAAGGUAUUGACCUAAGCUUGAGCAAUGUGUUUUUGUUUGGUUGUUUGUUUUGUUUGUUUGUUUUUUUGGUGAUCAAUUUUUUUUAUUGAAUUUUGCCAUUUCAUUAAAGUAAAACAACAAAUUAACAAAGACAUAAUGAAAAUACACAUGACAUGACAAAAUAAAACAACAACAACAAAAAAAAAAAACAAAUAGACAUAAAAGCAUACAAGCAACAUGAAAAAUAAUGAAAAAACAAAAUAAUUGAGAUCAUAAGAAAAGUAACAAAAUCAAGCAUAAAUUCAAUACAUAAAGACAUCCAAAUAUAUAAUGUGUUGAGUGUUGACUGUAAUCUCAUCAUUUGAUUUUGUGGACAUAAUUUGGAUAUUAGUCUUAUCAUUUAGUUCAAAUCCUAUUUUCUGUUGUUACUGUGGUGGUUUAUAUACAUUUUUGUGUGAUUAAAAGAGAUGAGGCCCUCCCGUGAUGUGACCUUACCAACUUAUCAGCUAUAGUACAGAGAAAAUUACAGCAAUUAUUGUCUGCCUACUACAACAGAGAGAUAGAGACAAAGAGGGGGGAAAGGGCAGCAUGAUGGACGGAUCUCAGGGCGAGAAAUUAGUCACAGAAGAGGGAGGAAGAGGUCGAGUGUGUCCUCUGAGAUGCUGUAGUGGGAGUACUAAAACCCCUUUAAUCAAUGAUCAGAGACUACUCUAACACAGCUGUACAACCAUCUUUUUCUUUCUGUCCUCCUUAUUUCUUUACUUCCUUCCAACAGAGCUGUCUCAGUUCUCUCUCUGUAUAUAGUAUACUGUAUAACUCUACAUCCAGCUUGCCCAUUCUCCAUCACUGUGACCUCCAGCUGAACCUGCACACAUAGGCGACAUAUCCAUUUCUAUAAAAACUGAUAUAGGAGGAGAAACCCGCCAAGAUGAGGAAUGGACCUCAAUAAUGCAUCACAUGUCACACCAACACAUAUACACACACAUAUAUAUGCAAUUUUCUCAAACUCCUACUGCAGUUAAAAUCACUGUGUUUUGUUAAUCUAAGUUCAGAAAAAAAUUAAUGGAUUUUCCGGCAUAAAAUUUAGUUAGAGUCAAACACACCGUAACACAGAGUUAGACACAGUAGCGGGGGGAUUCAGCUCAAAGAAGAUCAUUUAUGAUCAUUACUUUAUCAUUUCCUUGAAGUAAUAAUCAUGAUAUUAAUCAUUUUGCACUGCAGAUGCAGUAGUUCUUCUGCCUUGGCAUCUCUGUCUAAUUGCAUUUUCUGAAGUAAUAAUCAUAAAUGUUCUUCCUUGAGCUGCGUUCCCCCGCUGCAGUCGAUGGACUCGCCCGGACGUCUCUGUACAAACAAGCGGCUGGUGAAGGAGAGACUGUGAGUUGUGUUUAGUCUCUUUGCUAAAGAAAUCAGGCAAAGCUUAAAAGAUGCUUGGUGGCUAGUGCUGGGCUAGGACCUUCUAUGUACUGUUGAUGAAGUUAGAUGCUGUUCUAAGCAUUAUUUGUGGCUAUAGAGUGGCUUUUUGGUUGAGCUUGUGGCUAUCUGCGGUCAUUACUAAAGUUGGUGUAACUAGAGAAGCAAGCGGUCAGCAACAUUUAUCUCUUAAGGGGGUGUUAAUUUUACACCAGAAUAUCACUUUAAGUUAAAUCAAGCUGCUGCUGUUAAGAAAAAAAAAAAAAAAGAUCUCACUUAAUCCCUAUUGAAAACGUAAAUAGACUAAAUAUCAAUGUGGAUCUAAUAUUCAUAUUGACAUUUAGAGCAAAUCACUCAACACAAGUGAAAUGACUGAGUAUGCUUGAAUUUAAAUGUUGAGUCCUCCACUUAAACUCUUCAAUAUAAAUAGUCAUAAAAGAUCCAUGAGGACUGGAGAGUAAUGAAUUAGGCUUCAUUACUGUGACACUGAUAGUCACAGAUUCUCCAGUCUAAUCUGCUUUUCAUUCGUGAAAUAAGUUUGUUCAAUUCAGUAUUUUCUAUUAUAAUCUUGAUCUUGAGCCUUGAUUAUUAAUUUAUUAGUUUACCUGGGGUUUCAUGUUUUGGAUUUUUGGUCGAUUGGUUGAUUUUUUUUGGUUGGUUAUUUGCCUUUUUGGCAUUUCCGUUAUUUAAUCUUCAAGUUAAGUCUGCAUCAUGGGUCCUUUGCUUUGUUUGAAUUCUACUCCAGGACAUUUUCCUCCAUGAGGGUAGAUUGGCAUAUCAAGAAAAUAAUAGAAUAAUAAAAUGGACAAAUGCAUUUUAUGAGGAAAAGGUAAAAAAAAAAAAAAAGAAGUGUGGAAGGUUAAACUAACAAACCAAGUAAUAUCUUGACUUGUUGGGGAGAUUUUAUGCCAUUUUCCAGUUUAAACAAUUUUUGGGAUUCUAUCCAGAUUUUAGUGAGUAACUUAAUCAGAGGCACCUUUUUUCUUAUAACAGCAUUUCAAAAAUCACAUUUGCAAGUGUCAGAUGGUUUAUUUUGAAUGUAAUCUACUGAAAUUACUCUGUGCUUGAACUCUGUGCUUGAAUUCUUUAAUUUCUUCGAGAAACAUCAAACUCAAUAUUUUUGUUUCACAGCCUUUACAAAGGGCUGACAAAUAAGACAAAUGUUAUACAGCUUGAGUACGUGUUUUUGUAAAAUUAAACAAAAUAAAGUGUAAGAGGGGAAAGACUGUGCAAUGGUUAUUGGCUGAAAUAUGUGUCCCUAAAGGUCCAUUCAUUCUUUCCUGAGCAGCUGGGCUGAUUUCCUUCACUGGUGGAAAUGUUGUACAUCAAGUGAGUAGCAUAUUGCACACAAACUCAAGUCAGUUUUUGCUCUAUCUCAUUCAUGUUAUUCACACCCCAUACCUUUACAUUGAGUCUAUACAGAGAUUUUUUGCUGACAUACUCUACCUCUAUUGGUUCAGGUUGGGCCUGAAUUGGGAUAUGAGUAUGGUCCUUGGUGCCCAGGACACUGGGGAAACCUGAGGGAGGGGUUCAGUCAAUACAGACAGAUCAAACUGUAGGCGUCUCUACAUGUACAGUAGGUCUGCUUUAACUGCCAUGUACCUGCAACUAAGUGAAAUGCCCCCUUGAUCCUUUGCAUGGGGUGAUGGCUAACCUGGGAUUUCCACCGCAUCCGGAAUGGCUCCAACGGCGAUUUUUGCAUCCGGAACAGCUCUGAUCUGUAACGGCAGCGAUUUUCGCUGUACACCAAUUCCUACCGGGUCUGUUUGUUAGGCAAAUUUCGUGGCGGAUUACAGACAGCAGUACUCGCAAGAACUCAUAAGAACCCGCGGAUUCACAUGCGUGAUAACAACUUGUCUUUAGCCACAUAGGCUAACCAUAUAAGCAGUAGAUUGUGUCCCCCAAGAGGAGGAAAUCUACUUCUAGACUUAUAAAAUCAGCAUCCCCUUGUCCAUGGUGUCAUUGGGGUGAAAUGCUGUCUACAAACCUUUAACUUAAUUCGUUCGUCCCCGCCCGUUUGCAUGGUGUGAAAUACGAUCCGUCUGAAUCACUUAGUGUCUAAUUUUGAAAAGAAGCCGGAUGUUUUAUUUUGUAUCUGUGCCCGACUCCCUUUCCCAUACGGGUUAAUCUGUGCUGAAUUUAUCUCGCAUGCCCCGGCGUCUGGAAAAAAUAGAACUCUUGCAAUCAGCUGUGGAGUCCAGCGAUUCACAGCAGAACAGAAAGAAGCCGGUGGAAAUUGACACAUUAACUUGAAUGGUUAUGAUCAGCUACGAUCGGUGGAUACAGCCUUUUCGUAGCCGUUCCGGAUGUGAUAAAAAUUGCCUGUAACAAUGGUAACAAGGUUUUUUUUUUUUUUUUUUUUUGGGAAGUAGAGCAAGAUAUACACCCUCCUUAUCUCCUUGUACACUGUUGCCAUAGAGAGUUGCUCAGUAUCACCCACACUGUCCCACAGGCAAAGAUCUGCAGUGUAUAACAGACAGACUGCGCUGUGGUCAGAGCUGGGCAGUUCUAGCAAAGUGCAGAGGUAAAGUAUGCUCAGCCUCCAGAUCCAGUAUCCCUCCCACAGAUUAUCAGGGAAGGCAAGUGGAUUUGCUCUGUCCCAGAAGACCUUAAGAGUUGGUGGUGUAAAUAACCUAUGGACAAUUGACACCUUCUUCUAUAAAAGGACAGACCAUGCUCUCCUUUUCUCUCUAUCAGACUCUCUCACUAACCCACUUUCACACACUCUGUCUCUUUCUGUGCAGGUUUUUUUUACUUUUAUGUUUAUGUGCAUGGUUGACACAAGUGCAGAAAUUCAGAGGUCUUAAGUUUUCUUUUUUUUUUUUCAUUACUGUUGAAUGAAUCAUUUUCAGUAUCAACAGUCGUCUCUCUGUAACUCUUUAUUACAGAGCGCAAGUGGGUGGAGGAUAAAAAAGCUGAUUUAAAUUCAAGAACACUCAUAUCGUCAUUGCACCAGUAUUGAGUGAUUUGCUCCAAAGGUUAAGAUAAAUCCCCAUUUCCCUUUCAUAUUGAAUCUGUCUCUGCUUCAAGGAUCUGCCAAAUGAAAUCCUUUGUCUUUCUGACAGUGGCAGCAUUAGAUUUAUUGAAAUGUUUGUUGUGAAGGACACAUAAACAUGUGCACAUCUAAAGCUAUUCAUGUAUUGUAUGUGAUAACACUAAGUGAAACUCUUUUUUUUUCUAACAAUUUAUUCAUAAACAGUUUUUCAUAAACACUAUACAACUUCCAUAACAACAACAGAAGUACAAAUUUCACCCAACCCCGCGCCCCUCCCAGAACAAAUCCCAUAGGCCAACUCUUACCUACGUCCCUAAAAAAAUAGUAAUAAUAAUAAUAAUAAUAAUAAUAAUAAUAAUAAUAAUAAUAAUAAUAAUAAUAAUAAUAAUAAUAAAAAUGUGUAAAAGAAAAUAUAAAUGUAAAUAAAUAAAAGAAUAAACUACAUUAAUAAUAAUAACAAUAGUAAUAGUUCAAAUGAUGAAUAAAAAAAUUGUUAAAUAAUUUCGUAAAUAAAAUAAAAAAAUAUAUAUACAAAUUACAGCAAAAUACAUGCAGCAAAGGUCAAGACAUUGACAAUGGAAAAGCACACUCCUACUCCUGCAGAUAUGCUACAACCAACAACCACCACCACACCCUAAUCCAGUUAUCCAGGUAUAUUUUUUUCAGCAUUUUUGAAAAAGAUGGGGUUUCUUUUUCAUAUUGAACAUAAUUUUUUCAGAGGCCAUGUAUAAUGCAACUUCUUUAAGCCACAUUGAGGCAGUAAGUGGGUGUUCGCUUUUAAUACUAAGUGAAACUUAGUGCAAUGAUAACUGCAGGAAGAAGAAAGAAAGGAAGCAGCAGAUAGAUGCUCUGUGAGUUGCAAGUCUGUGAAGGAGAAGACAGAUUGAUGCCAUGCUGCUCCCCUCAGGACAUCCCAUUCAUUCCCCCGAAAGUGAUGGGAUGGACAUAUUUUAAGCUCUAAAUCCUCCAAGUUUCAGUGCUCGGAUCAAUAUGUUGUUAGGUUUUACCGCUGAUUUAUUGCUUUAACUUUUCCUGCAGUUGUGCAACCACUGCUGCUUACAACACUGGAAGCACCAUCAGAAAACCACAGGCUUGAGGAACCCUCCAUCUGCUACUCGAAAAGCCCUGUAAGGACACCUGCAAACCCUCCAAAGUCAAAGAAAGAAACCUGGUAACACCUAAAAGAGCCAAGAAGGAUUCUUACCAAAGCUUGCUAUUUAGAGAUCUUCAAUAGGAGAAAAAUCAAGAUGAGGAAAAAAAAGACAGUUAUAUAUAGCCAGCAGCAAAUGUAGAUUGAGGAAUGUUAUUUUGAGGAAAAAAAUUAUCAAAAGCAGGAGACAGGAAGGGAAAGCCAGAGAUGACCCUGACCUUAACCCUGCAUGCAAGUGCUGAUGAUCCUCUCAAUCUAACCCGCAUUUCCACUUAAGUCCUUCACUAUCUGCAGCUUUGCCCUUUUUCUGUCUUUAAGGAGAGUGGAAUGGAUAGGGAGGCUAGGAUGCUGGUGGCUCUGUGGCAGCUGGCUCAGCUUCACUGUCUCCGGCUUCUCACUUGGGGCGAUGACCAGGGCAAUGGGAGCUCUGCAAACCUGCCAUAGAGAUGAAGCGACAUAGGCAUUAUAGCAUGAUAUGUCUAGCCUGUGGUAGAGCAGGCAUAUGUGCCAACUGUAUGUCUGCUGACAGGUGCUCCAUCUGCUCCACAGGUCCUUGAUUGGGGUCAGCUUGUCUCUCCUGUGGCAGUCUGGCCGGGACAGUCAGUCAUCAAACUGCAGGGCCAGAUUGAUCUGCAAAAAUCUCUUCUGGGACAUUGUUGAAGCAAAAUGUCACGCCCCAUCUCAUUGUCAUUCAGACUCUUGGUUGACUCAUGCUGUGACCUGUACAUGCCUGCCAGGAUCAGCAGUCUCAGGUAGGCCGUUCAAAACAUUUUUGAACUAUUUUCAAUUUCAAUUUCUGAAAACGACUAUGGAAAACAUACAAGAAGUAUCUAACAUGUUCAAAAAUGUCACACUCCAAAACGACGUCUACUUUAAACCAGGAAUGCCCUCUUUAUCUUUAGGAACAUGUGCACUUCUUAUGUGUGAAAGGCUGUGUUACAGUUGCAAUCCAUACACUAGCACAAUCCUCCUCAUGCUCAAACUUAGUGAGGUUUAGCAUCAUUGGAGUAGCCCUCCAAUGCGUGGAAUGCCUUGGAGGAAUACAAAUAGUCCUGAUUGCAAAGCAAGUUACGUAUUCACCCAUACAAGGGAUUCAUGGGGGUGUACUGGUGCAUAGCAUUGUUGAUAACCCCUAACCCACGCUUAUGCUUUCUGCCAUCUUAAAUUUUAUUGUUUGUGUUUUGUACUCUUCUGAUACCACCAGAUGGCAGUGUGGGUAUCCUUGCAUGUGUACAUAUGGCCCAAGCAAAGUAGAAUUAAAUAUUAUGCUUAUAUAACCCAAUAUGUGAUUUACACGCAGGUGUAGGUCUCAAGAGGCUUGAUCUUAAAGCCACAGUAAGGAGUUUGUGAAUAGCUGUAAGAGUCUGAAGUUAAUUACCCUGCCGCUUUCAGGCACACAAAAAAAAACUACACCAUUGGGGAAACUUGUAUUUUUAAUGCCUGAAACUGCCAUGAGGAGAAAGGUGUCAUACAAGCCAGCAGAAUAUUCAUGUUUAAAAGAAAUUUAAAAAUCCCAAACAAUAAUAAUCUGUUUUUAAUGUCCCAACUAUUAUGAGGUGGCUUGGGCAUCUAAUCAGGAUGCCUCCAGGAUGCCUUGCUGGUGAGGCGUUCAGGGCAUGUCCCACCGGUAGGAGACUGCGGGGAAGACCCAGGACACGCUGGAAAGACUAUGUCUCUCAGCUGGCCUGGGAACACCUCAGUGUCAAGGCACUAACAUGCGAAAAAUCUUAAGCUGUUCUGUGAUUUUUAAAGAAUCACAGUUAUUAAUGGGCUGAACAUGAGUAUUUUCAAAUAGACAAAUAAAAUUGGACCAUUUUUAGGGGUGUAGACAUUCAUUCACAAAACAGAGUCAAAAAUGUGUCUAGAUGAGUGAAAAAAAAGGGUCAUUUUGUUUUCUUGGUCCAAAGUGAGUUAGACUGAAGUGAAUUGAAGAUAUAAAAUUACAGAAAUAGAAAUAAAUGUUUUAUGUCAUGUUUUCACAGACAUCUUAAAGCCAUAUGUUUAAACCAUCAGGUUGGGAUCCAAAUUCAAAUUCAACUUUAUUUUUAUAUCACUUUUAAGACAAAAAAUGCAGUUCAAAGUGCCUCACAGAGGCUAAAAACAACAUUUAACAGCAAAAAAACCCAACCCUCCCACCCACACACCCACCCAUGGACCCACACACACACAAAGACACACACCCACCCUCUUUCACCCACACAUACACACACAAACAAGCGCACACAGUGUGAGACUUUAAGAUAUAGUGUUAGAGAGACAUGGCCUGAUUAAUAAAAAGACUAAGAACAAUAAUUAAUAAAAUGACAUAAAAGAAACAUGAAGAAUUUCGAUUAAAGUGACCAUUUGCAAUAAGAGAAAUAUAAAAAGGCAAUCAGUGAAAAGCCUGGUUAAAAAGGUGAGUCUUGUCCGAACAACAGAUUUGGAAGAGAGAAGAUGGGAGUAAGAAUGUGGAAAAAGAGGUACAGAGAAAGAGAGGGAAAAUGAGAAGGGAGACAAUCUAGAAUAAUGUAUGAGGUUCAUACUGAACACCUGCUUCCAGCUGGUUUUGUCUCUCAUUAGGAGAAUUCCCCUGUGAGGAGGGAACCAUGAAGGAGGCUGGUCACAAACAACAUAAUACAAGACAAGAUGGCUGACAUUUCAGCGCAGAUCGACACUGGGGAAAAUAAACAUUCGGUGAACACACAGGGUUGAUCAGCUUUGGACAGAGUAGAUAAAUCGUAAAAAAAAAAAAAAGUGGGUGAAAAAGACUUUUGUGAUGAAAAAACAAAAAUCAAUUUUGAUUUUUUCUGACAUCAUGUUGCCAAAUUCUUUCCUGUUUCCAAAUGCACACCAUUGUUGUUUCGUUAUUGUUUUCUAGCAAUGGAUGUCUGAGCGGGGCGGAACAGUGGUGUAGUGGUUAGCACUAUCACCUCACAGGAGGAAGGUCCUUGGUUCAAAUCCGGGUCAGGGUGUUUCUAUGUGGAGUUUGCAUGUUCUCCCUGUGUCUGUGUGGGUUUACUCUGGGUACUCCGGUUUCCUCCCACAUCCCAAAAACAUGCAGAAGUGGGGUUAGGUUAAUUGACCACUUUCAAAUUGCCCAUAGAUGUGAAUGUGGAGGGUUGUUCAUCUCUAUAUGUCAGCCCUGUCCAGGGUGUCCCCUGCCUAUGCCCGAGGAUGCAAGGAUAGGCUCCAGCCCCCCACAACCCCCAAUAGGAAAAAGCGAUAGAAAAUGAAUGGAUGUCCAAGUGUGAUAAUGUGAAAUCAUUAUCAUCAAGUAGCCACUGAUUGAGUGAAUUGUACUCUUUAUUCAUUGAAAACAACUUUUCAGCCAAAUCACAGAUCGCCUCUUGCCACAUAUCUAGUUUUUAACAAAAAGCACAACAAGUAAUAAUAGUCCAAAAAUGCAUUUUCUUCAGAGCACUCAUUAGCCCCAGUAAAAGAUAAGUAAACAAUAUGAGAGAUUUUCUUUGAAGCGUUGGCAAAAUGACUGAAUUAUAUAAACUCUUUAUCCUGUUGGAAAGCAAGACUUUCACAGCACAAUCAGGACUUAAAGGAAAGAAAUGGGGAAAAUGUUAAAUUGUAGGGGGAGCCUGAGCUGUUAGAAAAUGAGUUUUCUUGGGUGUUGUGUUACUAAAAGUCAGGCUCAUUUUCAUCUGACUGUCUCCACCUUCAGCCAAAACUUUCAGGAGAGAAGUGACUUAGAAUAUUUGUCUUUCAAAGUGUCUGGCUUCUAGUGUCUGCCUCUGUUUUUUUUACUGCUCUGCAUCAGUCUGGUCUGGGGCUCCACGGGCAGUGCGAUCAAUAUAGAGAGAAGGAGAGUGUGGUAAAACUUCACAAGUCUUUGCAAGGUUCAACAGAGAAAAUUGCUCAUUUGCAUGGCAAAGCUCCAAAUGACCCUACAUCCAAAUGCUUUGUGUGCACUCCGGCAGGUUGGCUAGACUGAAGCAAUUUGGCAAAACAGCACCUGACCAAAAAAAUCAGCAGCUGACUUUUACAGUAAAAUUUCUCCGAGAUGACAAAAGAAAAGCUCCUCUCACGCUGUGUCUGUUUACAUGUCCGCACUGGAUUCAUUUACUGAGAAAAAUUAUAUAUAAUCAUCCUGUGAAGUUGGAUUCAUACUAAAAUCAUGAUAUUUGGACUUCACUUUGAUCAUCCUUUGACAAAAUCCGUUUCUUAGGUCCCACAAAUCUAUUAACACAAAAUUAACUUUAAUCUCAGCUCCUGAGGGUUUAGAUCUUUUACCAUAAUCAAGAAUACCAUCCUGUGAUAAACUUUUGUCCUAGUUACCUCAACAUAAAAGCAAAGUUCCGCUACAUCAAGCCCAUAGACUGUAUAUAGAAUGGACAGUGUCUGCCUCCUUGCUGGGUGAGGCCACCCAGAGAACAGCACCCUCUGUUGACGGGCUGCAGUAUAGGUCAUAAAUCCCGCCUCCAAGACAAAUCCCACAGCUCCAUUUUUAAAAGUUAUUCGGGGGUUCAUGUUUUCUAUGAUUGACACCUGAUACAGCCUAUUGGCGCUCAAGGAUUGCGUAGCUCACCCGGGGGAUACACUGCUUGAGUCGAGCGUCAUCACAGUGACUCUCGGCAACUCUCCCACUGAAUGCGUACAAUGCUACUGCGCAAUGCUGGUUUCAGGGAAUGAAGAAAAAUUGCAGAAAUAGCGAGAGCUUUUUAGCUUCAAAUCCGUAUACUGGCGGGAGGCGGAACCAAGUUGUCCAUAGUAUAUACGGUCUAUGAUCAAGCCAGGUCAUGACACUGUCUGCCAGGGCAACAUUUUUUAACUAAACAAACAUAAACACACCUCCAUAUCCCUCCUCGGUUCCUCUGUCAUGUGUUACAGCUUAGUUUAUUAAUGUUUCCUCUCCUGCUACAUGUCUGAUGUGAAAAAGCAGGUCUGUUUGUGUAAAUCUAAGAUCAUCUCUUCCAGCUCCAUGUGUGCAGAAAUACUACCUUCAGCCAUGUUUAAAAGACAUCCUUCUGUCAUUUCAGCAUGAUCUCAGUUUGAUUUUCAGAGGAAAACCUGAACUGAGGCAUGAAGUUAUUUGUCCCACUGAGGCUUCCCUGCCUUUAAAUUCAUUCUGUGUUCAGGUGCGUGCUACAUAAGCUACCAGCCUUGAAUCCCGGUUAUAUUCAGUCAGCUGCUGACUUGUUACUAUGGUGGUUUAAUCUUUGAGUGAAUGAUAAGUUAACGAGGAUUACAUCUUCAUUCAAGUCUUUUCCAUUCAUAUAAAAAGCAGAUUUUUUUCCCUUUUUUAAAUAUUUUUCUGCAGUCUGUCUUAAGAUCUAUUGUUCCUUUUCAUUUCUCCCUUCUGUCUUUUGAGUGAUGAAAACAUGCUCAUGUGUAUGAGUUGAACUGGACUCCUUCCUUUGAUUUCAUCAGACACCUCUGUUCAAUCUUUUCUUUUACCUGUAUUCUUCUCUGCUGUCACGCUCUGUCACUUCUCUGCAGCACUGUGGGAGGUUUCUUCACACUCUUUGUGUGUUUGAAAGUCUAUCUCUUUUUGUAGACAGCAUCUAAUGCUUUAUAGAGAUUGUGUAUGUUGAUAUUUGUGUGAUACCAGAGUAUUUCCUGAGGCUGAGAAGUUGGUGAUUUCUCAGCUGGCAGAGCCAAACACAGCCACAUGUAGAUAUCUCAGACUGUCUGAUUUAAUGCAGAUAUUAGCUCAUAGCUUCUGCCAUCUCUAGUUAAAGGCAUGGAUGAUGAUCUGAGAAACAGUUGAAAACACUGAGCCGUUAAGGCAGAUUUGAAAGAAGCGUCCCACCCCCCACACACAAACCUCUUCCCUCUUAGCUCCAUGAUAACUCCCCCCGAAACUGUAUCGCCCUCCCCAUGACACACCCUCUCUGGCAGAGCAAGAAGCCAGCCAGGAGAAGAUUCUACGCUAGCUUCAAAUUGGAUUUACCACGUCGGAUUGCCAGUGACUAGCGACAGUAAACGCCAGCUCUGCUAGCAAGCACCGUCUGCAGCUGCCAUGCCUGGACAGCUACCAUGUUGACAUUGCAGCAACUAAUAAGAGUUAUUUAUGUAACAUGUGCCAUGAUAAAAGGCAAAAAUUACCUGUUCAACAAAAACUCUGCUGUCUUGGCGUCUGUAUUCAGGCCCAAAUCCCGGCGGAGCUUUCUCCACCACUCAAAGGAUGACCCAAUGUUUAUUCGUGACUUGGUCACAUUUCCUCUUCAACUGCCCUUUCUUCUUUUAGCUUGCGUUUUCUUAGCACCUUUGGCGGUGGGGCAAACAGAAGUGGUUUUUUUUUUUUGCAUCCUUCACCAUCACAGCUCCUGUCGCUAAGCUGCUAUGCUACUUUUAGCCACUCAGAGCUCCAAGGAGGGCCGGGAGAGUGGGAGGAGACAAGUCGGAACUACGGGAGAGGGGUGUGUCAAAUACAGCAAAGUGAUUGGAUGGAGAGGUGGAGCAUGAGAUUGACUAAUAGGAGCUGUCCGGGAUGGAUGGUUCCUAUUGGUCAAUUUUUUUUUUGCAGCCCUGCACCUGCUAUGGUGAACGGAUUUUUUCCAUUCUUUCUCCUUCACUUUGUGGAGAUCGCACCAUAGGACUAUGAUCGCCAUAUAAACAAUGUUCAUAAUAAUUACCAAUCUCGCCAAUCGUCAUCUAAGAUUCUGAUUUGUUGAUGCAAAAAUAAAUUACUGUGACUAAUUAAUUUUUUUCUUUUCUCCUCUUUUUGAAUCUUAAACAAAAUUUUACCAAACAUUUUACCUGCCAAAUAUCAAAAUAUCAUAACCUUCAUGAUUUUGUCAGCAGCAGCAGCAGCUGACAUGGAAGCCUGUCAGUUCGACAAAAAAAAUUACAGCUGAGCACAAUAACUUGUAGUAACGAAACAACCAGCUUGAUAAUCAAAAUAAUCCAAUUCACUGGAAAUUAGUUCUCCCCCUUGCUGCUUUUCUCUCUCUCUCUCUCUGUUUUGAAGCAGAACUAAAUAUCUACAAAUUACAAACAAAAAAGGAUUGUGUUGCUAAUUAAUCCCAUGGUGUCUGCUGGUGUUUGGUUGUGUGUGAGGCAUGUGUUUGCUUUUCCUCCAAACACAGACACAGCUUGUAUUUCAUCCAUCUUCUCUUCACACACCUUGCCCUUUCAGUGUUUGAUCUGCUUUGUUUGGUCUUUGGUUUUUGGUCCAAAAUAAAAAAGUCAUGUCCAACUCUACUACUGCAGAGUUGUUACUGGCAAGUCUGACUGGCACUUCUGGUUUUGGCAUGCAGCAGCUAACACAGGAGUGUGUUGAUGAUUUUGACACAUCAUGUGGAAGUCCGAGUUACAGAGAUGAGUUAAAACAUGGUACCAGCACAAGAUAUCGUUCAAUCAAUCAGUCUUUAUUUGUAUAGCACUGUUCAUGCAAAAAAAAAAAAAGAUUUAGCACAAAUUGUUUUACAUUGCAGAGGAAUAAAAGAAACAAAGAAAACCCUAAUCUAACACAACCCAACCCCUCAUUCCCAACUCGCAAUCUAAGCAAAAUACAAAUGUGUAUUAAAAUGCAUGAACUUAAAAGGGCUCGAUUUCAUAUAAAAAGGAAUUUUGCGAACCGAGGAAACGCCAUUUUAAAAUUCAAGAUAAGGAAACACUGGAGGUUUAAAGUCUAAAAACAAAGUAGCAUAAAAUGAAAUUUAAGAAAUAAUAAAUAAAACGAAAUAAAAACAACGGUAAAAGAUACUUAAUUAAGAUCACCAGAAUAGCUCAAUAAAAGAUUAUCCUGUCAUUAAAACUAGAAGAGAUAAAUGCUAAAACACUUACACAAGGUCAAUGAUUUAAAAUUAAGACAUAAAAUUUAGUUAAAAGCAAGACUAAAAAGGUUUAUUUUCAUUUUGCUUUUAAAAUCAUGAAGAUUAAGUCCUCAGGUCUUCAGGCAAGCUGUUCCAUAGACGGGGGCCGUUGCCAUAAAAAGAUUCCUCACCGUAUGUCUUGGAGAUAUGAGACAUAUGAACAUCUUGAAACAUGUACAUCACUCCUGUGAGAGCUGUUUGACAGAAAAACAACGUAAAAGUUGAGCAUAACCUCCAUUAAAGAGGACAGCAAAUGAAUCACCUUGGACCUUGGCGCCAUAGGAGACAGGAUUAGAAACAGAAAACCUUUCAGGAAUGUGAAUGUGGUGCAAAUGGGCGAAUGUAACAUGUAAUGUAAAAAAAUCUUUGAGUGGUCAGAAGAGAAAGCUCUAGAUAAAACAUUGUCCACUUACAGCAGCAUGCAGAGAAAAGAAACACCUUUUUUCACCAGUGUGUAGUUGUUUAGUCUUUUUUUAUGAAAACGUCUGAUCCAGUUUGUAAAAAAAAAUAAAAAUGUCUGCCAUAGUGGAUUACAUGGACCUCUAGGAGCAGAAGCUGCCAUCUCGGUUGUUAAUGAACACUUUGAAGCAGUGCUCUUGUUUUGUCGUAUAAAAAAAAGGACUUUGAUUGGGUUGGUGCCUCGGAAAGGAAAACAUUUGUAAUGACAGCUUCUCCAGACUCACAUACCAGAAAAAUGAAUCUGAGCUGGCUGAUGGAUCUGGCAAAGCAGGACUUUGGAAUAUGUGAGAAAAUUUGUGAAAAAAACAGUUUGAAGGCUGAUGUGGUGACAAACAGAGCUUUUAAGAGUUGUCUCUUCUGAUACAACAGUUUUUUAGUAAAAGCUGGUGUUUGAGAUUACAAGUGUACGAAUAAAAAGCGGACAUCAGAUGUGUUUAUCAUUUUGCCUUAACUAUGUCUGUGCCUUUGAGUUAGUUCAUAAAUUCCUGCUGGUUAAUCAGAAAUGUCCAAAGCUACAAAGGUAUCUUCUCUCCACACUUAACUCAUGACAGCCUCAGUUUUCUGUUUGUUAUCAAGAUGCAGAUGUGAGUUUGUACUGGUUCUUUGUUGUUUGUGUUCUUCUUCUGUUUCUGCUCCUGAAGCGGGUGAUUUGUGACUCAACAUCCGUUUCCAAAGUUCACUAACAGGCUAAAAAAGGGGGCGUCUGCCACCUGAGCCCUGUGACACCUGUUUGAUCAGUCUGUGACUGAGCUGCUUCUGCAGAAUCCAGAUUCAUGGCAUACAUGGCAGUUUUCUUGUUGUUGUUCUGGUUUUUGUUGCGGCGCUAGGAACAAAUAUUGAGUCAUUUGUCAGUAGGGACCUGUGCACCUCUUGGUUUGCCAUGAAAGUAUAAGUCUCUUAAAGAAGAAGGCAAAAGCAGAAGAAACUAGGGUGCAGUCAAACACGAAACAAUGUCCCUCAAGUUUGAACACCUGUCAGAGCUUCUGAAGAGACAGCCUCUCUCCUUAAAGCGCAGAGUGGAGGGAAAUAGAUUGAAUUUAAAGGACAGACGGAAAGCAUCAGAGCACUUGAUCUGCUGAAUGGAAAAAGAGAAAGAGAUAGAGGAGAAAAGACCGUCUCAGUCUGGUUGUCUAUCACUUCUUAUGGAGAGAAUGACUAUGAAGAUACUCCAUAAAUCAACACUGCACUCAUAAAUUAGACCACAACUCUUCUCACAGUCAUAGUUUCAUGGUUUGUAACUUUAGAACAUCAGAUUCUCUUUCACCCCCACCCUCCUCUCCCUGUCUCUCUUUCUGUCAUUCUCUCUCUCUCUCUCUCUCUCUCUCUCCCUCUCUCUCUCUCUCUCUGCGGACUUCUUUUAUUUGCCUUCUCACAAAAGACACUCCAACCUGUCAAUCCUCAAAGACUCACACAGAAGAAAGGGAAAAUAGUGUCUCUCCAUCUCUCCACCUUUCAGGGUUUUAAACUGCCGAGCAGCAGAAAUAUCACUUAAUGAGGUGAAUAAAUGACCAAAUUAGUCAACUGGAAGUGUUAGGCUUUCUCCCCUGUCACUCAUUGAUGUCUGCAGGAAUAUCAAUUGCUAAAACAAACUCCUGGUUUCUCCCUUUCUCUAUCUUAUAACAAUAACCUCAGUAUUAGUUGAGUCAUGUCUUGUAUUAGUUGGAUCCUUCACCGAGCCCUGUCAAAUCCAGUUCACUCGAGACAAUAAACCUUUUGCAUUUUUAGAAAAUAUAUUCUGAUACUGUAACAAGACUUUCCUAGAUCCCAACAGUAGACGAGAACAUCAAAUGGUGAUAAAACAGUAGCGUUAUUUUCUUCUCUUUGUCUCUCUGCCACUGAUGAGCAUAUCCAAUGUUUGAUGCAUUUUACGAAAUAGAAUCAUUGCACUUAAAAACAUUGUUCCUUUGCUACUAAGUGACUGAAUGAGUCAAUAAGACUAUGAGAAGCACUUACACUCUAAAUGCAGUGUGAGGAUUACAAUGCCUACAUAUUACACCACAGAGUGGUAUUUAUUAUGGACUCCUCCCAUCCUCUUCUUUGCUGGGCUAACACUGCAUAUCCUUGUCUAGAAGAGCUCCACAAAGUUUAAUUUAAACCACCCAAUUUCCUGGUGUCCCUUCAGAUUUGUUGGGGAAAAAGCUGAGGCCUUUUCCCUGAUCCAGUGACUGCAGGGAGGGAGGGAUGAAGGGGGUAUGAGAGGAGUUGAAAAUGAGGAAACUGGAGGUUGUUUAGUUGACAGAUUGAACCUGAGCCAGAUCAACUCUACACGUUGAAACCACACACACGUCAUAUUUGACAUUGCGAUACAGAGUCAGGGGCAGGUUGAAAGAUAAGAGAGAUGAGAACAGAGAGGGAAUAGAGGAUUGAGGGAGGGAAGAUAGCAGACUGCUGACAGGGUGGUGGCAGGGCUUCAUUACCAAACCAGCAGCACUGGAAGCAUUUCUGAGAACUGUUACUGUUGGAAUGGAUUGAAACACACUUCUACUUGUCUAAACUGUCUCUCCACCAGUUUGCCUCUGAUGUGGAUUUAAAGUCAGAUGAAAGAGAAACUGCAGGAAGGAAGAAAUUGAAGCAGAAAACAUAGAGAGCAAGAAAACAAGAGAGGGGCAUUGGCGUUUUGAUGUAUCGCUCUCGUGUUUCAGGACAGCGGGCAUUUACUGUGGAACGUUUUACACGAUCCUUAACUCUCCUCCCACUUUUCUGUGCAAUGCAUCAUCUUUGGGUAUUUAAUGUUCAUAAAACCCAGAUCUCACUUCCUGAAAAUUCAGUGGUAUUUUAGCUUACAUGUAAAUGUUCCUGUGUUUUUGUCUUAAAAGACUGCUUCUUGACUUUACAAUAGACAAGCUAGAGCUGUGCAAACCAGUCACACAAACAGUCACAACAUGGGAGUAGGUACAGGAUAGCUAUAUUUUACACCUAAUUUUAGAUGUCAGCACAUUCACACAUUUUCGCUCAUAGUUUGUCAUAGACAAACUGAACAAAUGACACCAAAGUGAUAACAUUAAUCCUUUCUUACAGUUAUGGCUAAAUUCCACAAGAUGGAAUUAGCCUGAUCAAACGUCUACUGUCCGGCUCCACUGCGGAUCCACUAAAGCGGUCGGAUCAGAUACAAAAGACUUCUAUUUUUGCUGGACAACACAACACAACACAUCAAUUCAGUGCAGCGGAGCACGAGCAGCAGUCGA